rnacentral:lncRNA from 1 species
AAUUCUGUUUAUCUGAUGAGAUUGCUCUUAUGAUCUGUGCCAGAUGGAUGCCACCACUCCCAAGUACUCGAAGGCCCGUUAUGAAGAAAUUGUCAAGGAAGUCUCUUCAUACCUGAAGAAGGUUGGUUACAACCCUGACAAGGUUCCCUUUGUUCCCAUCUCUGGGUUCGAGGGUGACAACAUGAUUGAGAGGUCCACCAACCUUGACUGGUACAAGGGCCCCACCCUUCUCGAGGCCCUGGACCAGAUCAAUGAGCCCAAGAGGCCCUCAGACAAGCCCCUCCGUCUUCCCCUUCAGGACGUGUACAAGAUUGGCGGCAUUGGAACUGUGCCAGUGGGCCGUGUUGAGACUGGAGUCAUCAAGCCAGGCAUGGUUGUCACCUUUGGUCCUACUGGCCUGACCACUGAGGUGAAGUCCGUUGAGAUGCACCAUGAGUCUCUCCUGGAGGCGCUUCCUGGUGACAACGUCGGCUUCAACGUCAAGAACGUGGCUGUCAAGGAUCUCAAGCGUGGGUACGUCGCUUCCAACUCCAAGGACGACCCUGCCAAGGAGGCUGCCAACUUCACCGCCCAGGUCAUCAUCAUGAACCACCCCGGCCAGAUCAGCAACGGCUAUGCCCCGGUGCUGGACUGCCAUACGUCCCACAUUGCUGUCAAGUUUGCUGAGAUCCAGACCAAGAUCGACCGGCGGUCUGGCAAGGAGAUUGAGGCGGCGCCCAAGUUCCUCAAGAACGGUGAUGCUGGGUUCGUCAAGAUGAUCCCCACCAAGCCCAUGGUGGUGGAGACCUUUGCCCAGUACCCUCCCCUGGGCCGCUUUGCUGUGCGUGACAUGAGGCAGACGGUUGCCGUGGGUGUUAUCAAGGCUGUGGAGAAGAAGGAUCCGACCGGUGCCAAGGUGACCAAGGCUGCGGCCAAGAAGAAAUGAGAUGGUGUCAGGUUCUUUACUGCAUCUAUGGUGGCGGUGGCGGUAUUUGGUGGUGGUGAUAGUUGUUCUAGUUGUUUUGGAAACUUGUUAAGCUUCGGUUAUUUGUGUCGAGCAGUGUUGGAACUGCUUAUUGCUCUGUCAUUGUAUCGUUCGGUUGUGUUGGUGAAACUUCGUCAGUUAAUGUUGCUACUAUAUAUAGUUGGCAUGUUUGGAGUCGUUUUAUAUCAGUUGAUCAUGUUUUUCGUCUUGCCAAGUUGAAUUUCUGUUUCCUUUCUUAACUACGCAUGACAAGGAGUAUGUGCUGAUGGUUUUUUAUCCUUUUCCUGAAUAUUUCUUUUGUCUUAGACUUUGCAGCUCUUUUCUUCAGAUUUUUCUUUUUUUUUCUUUUUUUGUGCUUAUUAUUAUUAUUAUUAUUAUUAUUCACGUGCAUGAAAAAUAUACUUCUCCCUUUGGCCCUUCUGCUUACACACACGAAGGCCACCGAGGCGCUUGUUUUAUGAUUUUGUAAUAAUAAUCCCAUUAACAGAUGCUUUUAGAUCUUUCUUUACGGGAAUGUUCUUUUAUUCAAAUGAUGUGAUACUAGGGUGAGGGACGAAAGGAGUAACAUUCCUUCACUAAACAGUGCGUUACUGCCCCUUUUCUGAAAACACUCCAUGAGUUAUGUUAGAAUAGUUCUCAGCAUGUAGGAGAUUGCAUCAAUAACUAAUUAUUUCCGCAUCAGUUACCUGGUAUCAACCAGGUCACGGCAGCAAUAAAAUGGCCCAUUCAUCACGCAAAAUUGCUUCAUUCUUGUUUGCUUACCUACAGUGAGAUACCCCAUCUGAGUGCUCGAUCCCAAUAAACGAGGGGUUGCCGCAGUAUCCAGGGUGUGUUUGGUUCAGGGAAUGAAGUGGAAUGUAACGGGUCGGACCUGCACAUGGGAGCGAUUCCUGUGUUUAGUUGAAAAAUGGAACAGAAUGUGUUUAGUUGAAAAAUGGAACGGAACGCACUGGUUCCCUGGAGAGAAUAUUCACCCCAUAUGCCAAACCGGGUGGUUCCUUCAAAUUGGCCAGACCCCGGAACACGUCUCUCUCACCUCGUCCCCCACUUACCAACGAGGAAAGCGUCCUGCGCGGCGCCCCUCUCCCUCUCCCUUGAUGGGCAUGGCGGCGGCCAUACACCUCCCCCUCCUCUACGGCAACCCCUCGUCGCGGUUGGAUAUGCAGCCUUGCCGGCGUCUCCUUCCCCUCGUCGGAGAUGCAGCUUCGCCGCGUCUCCUACCCCUCGACUAAGGAUCUGGGAAAGGACGGGGCGGCUCCCUCUUGAUCCGGCCUCUCCCUUGGCUCGCUCUCUGGAAUGACGACUCCUCCCCCGUCUAUCUCUCGUCAAGCAGCAGCUGAUUGCUCCCUCCUCCCAUUCCUCUCACCUAGUAGGCAGCAAUGAUGGCAGGUCAGAUGCAGCCAAUUUGUUGGGAAGUAGAGCAGAUAAGCGGCGAUCGGCUCGGCUCGUCUCCUUCCCGGCUAGUGGCAUCCACACACCUGGGCGGUAGCAGCACCAACCAGGGAUCAGGCAGUUCGGCAAGCAGCAAGAGAAGCAUCAGCGGCGGCAUGAGCAAGCUUCUUCGAUUGGCAACCUGGCAUUCUCCGUCCAAUAAUCAGUACUUAGUACUCAACUUGAUUAGUGCUAGCUUUGUGUGCUCCGUGUUGAGACUGGUAGUAAUACUUUGUGAUCUAGAUUUUGUGCUUCAUCAACAUUUGUUAUUUAUUUUCUGAAAAGUUGCUGUGACUACCAUUUUUUAUAUAUAAACAAUCAAAUAUCAGAUUAUAUAUUUCAGUGAUAAAUCAUUGUGAAAUUUAAAUGUUGUUUAAAACUAUUUAUGCUUGCCAGUGGAGUUAUAAAUUAUUGUGAGCAGAACCAAAUUCAUUCGAUUCAAUCUCUCCAACCAAACACCGAAAUUUAUCCAUUUCAUUCCAUCUAUUGUGCUCAAGCAAACACAGAGACGGAACUGACCCAUCCUAGUGGAAUGGAACCAUGACAUUCCAUUCCACUUUAUUCCGCAACCAAACACACCCUAAGCUAAUGACGAAGCCCCAUGUUCCAUUCUCACGCGGCGGCUUAAACACAUUGCCGUUGGCCAUCGGUUUCGGUUGCUGGAGGCUUGCGUGCAACUCUCGCCCAAGGUGCUGGGCGAUGGAGCCUAAUGAUUGAGCUAUGCUAGGAGGAACACAUAAUUGAGCUGGGCUUCCACGGAAGAGGAGAUUUGUGAGUUGUGAUGAACUGACAAAGUCUGUCGGAAUAGCCUUGGCCUUCAGAUUCUCCUCGUAAGUGAGAACCUGCUGCCAGGCCUCAUCAAGCUCGUGAGCUUUCUCAACCAACCGGUUCAGUCCAGAGCCAAUUUUACCGCUUACCUUAUUAUAUUGUUCCGAGCCUGAUCGCGACGCGGGUUGUCAUUGUCAAGCUCUAUGUCCACCACUUCAAGAUCAUGCUCGCCGAAGUUGCUUAACGACCGAGGUUCGCGUGGUGGACUCUCCUCUCCCGGUUUGUAUUCGGACCAUCUCCGGUGUCAUUCCCUGAGCUUUUCGCUUGUGUGAUUUGUGUCCACUAUGUAGCAUUCAUGGACAAAGGUUGCCAACCACGGUAAGGGCACCGUACGUGGAUGGCGGUUAGCUGUCUGCGGGCUCAUCGUUCUCCUCCUCCAUGUCUUUCGCUUCCUCGGUGGCGCCCUCAAGGAUGUCGGUGAGGUUCUCGAUAUCCAUGAUUAGAUGGGUAAAAAAAUUGAACUUCUUCCUGGAUCCAAUCUCACAUCGAGUCCGGGAGAACCAACUCUGGAUCUCGCGUGAGGCCAAACUCUGGAGGAUCAGCUCGGCGGGGAUCCACAGAGUACUCUAGGUUUCCGAAUCUGAUGACUCGACCGGGAGUGAAAUUCUUGACCUAGCCGAGGUGGCCAGUCGAGUCGGCUCGUGGCGGCAUCGAAGGCGAACAUCUAGCGUGGCGCAUAGAUCGCGCUAGAUCUAAUCUGGACUACCAUCGAGACACUGAGUUCACCUAGCAGGACCUGCAUGAGCCACCAGUGUAGGAGCUAAUUCUAGCAGAUCCCUCGGUAGGGUAUCCUAGCUAGGUGAUUGGGUUGGAUGGUAAAACGAGACAAGGUUUCACCAAGGUUUCGAGUCUCAUGGUGGAGACAAUACCCUACUCUUGCUUCUGUAUAUUGCGAUUGGGGUGUGUACAAAAUAAAGGGGAAAUAAUACAAUACUAGCCUCUUCUACUGAAACCAUCAUACCUGUAGUCACACCAAAUAUAGGAGAUUUAGAGCAUCUCCAACAGCCGCGCAACGCGCCACGUGCUAAAAGUCGCGAUACAGCGCCGGGUUAGCCAGCUUUUGCGCGCAGCGAUGCGCUGGCUUCAGCGGCCGCUGCAAAUUAAGCGCGCCCACGCCGCUCCAGCGGGCGCGCUAUAUUUCACUUUUUUCUACUACAUAUUUGGUUUCGUAGAUAAUUCUCCUACUAUAUAUUUGGUUUCGUAGAUAGUUCUCCUACUACUACUCGUCCGACUCGAACUCUGUCUCAGUGAUGUCCUCCUCCGACGUCGGAGCGUAGGCGUCAAGAAACCGCUCGUCGCCGGAGUUCCAGGAGGACGCAUCUCCUAGCGCUUGGUUGUAUUUAGCGACCGCCUUCCGCGUUCGCUUGUCCUCGCGAUAGUCGGCUCGCUCCUCUCUCCUCCUCGCCCUCCUCGCCCUUCUUUGGGCGAAGAACUGUUCCUCGUUGGUGUCUUCCGGGAAGCGAUGACUCCACAGCGCCAUGGCUUGCUCGUCCAUCUCGGCCAGCCUGAGACGAUGCUCCCGCCUCCGGUGCUUGCGAUGAUCCUCGUCAGUGAGAAGCCGCGGGAAAGGCGCCAACUCCUGUGCGCGCUCCCGCGUCGCCACGUCGGCGAAGUUCAUGUCCUGACGGGACCGCAGGAGGCGCCACGCCGCAGCGUCGUACGCGCGGGCGCCCUCCUGGGCGGUGUCAAAAGUUCCGAGACGGAGCCGCAUGCCGCCGCCCGACCGAAUCUCGGCGGAGUAGGUGCCGGACGGAUGCACGCGGACGCCGCGGUAGCCCGUACCUCCCCGGCGCCGAGGCGGCAUCGUGGCGCGGUGGUGGCGUGUCGGCGGCAGAGCGCGGCAGGGGGCGAUGGAGAGACGGAGAGAGCGGCAAAGGGCGAUGGAGAGAGCGACGGAGGCACUGCAAUUUAUAGGCGCGCCGGACGCGGCGCGCCAAAUGUAGCGCGCGAGCGGCCGCCUUUUCCCGCGCGCGCGGAAUCGUUUCCCGCGCGCUAGUUUCGCGCCAUCGCUGGAGCGCGCGAAAACGUCCCGCGCGCGCUAUAAAGCCAAUUUACCGUGCGCGCGCGUCUUUUGGCACGGCUGUUGGAGAUGCUCUUAGACUGAGUUUUCAGCCGCAAGGAAGUAUCCACUACCUCAACAUUUACCAUACCACAAAAUCACAUAGUGUUCCACAAGAAUACUAAAUCAAAGAGGGAUCUCACGAUUGUGGCAUGAAUUAUCUUUUGCAUAUUGUACACUAUGUGCAAGCCAUAAGUCAUCGUUGUGUGCAGACUUGACAACACACUCUCAUGAGAUGCCAAGAUUGAAAAGCAUAGGAACCAAAAGUGAAGAAACUGGAAAGAAUAUAGAAAUAGGAAUUCAACAAAAAAGGCUGACAAUGAUGACGCCAUUCAUGUGGCCCUGCGUGCCUAAUGUGUAGAGGUGAAGAGCCUUACAUGUAUUUUUUUUAAUACAAUACAAUCACAUAUGCUCACACACACACCUAUAAAAGCACGCACGCAUGGACACUCUAUCCCUAUAAAUACUUUUGAGAUAUUGAGCUGGCACAACAUCUUGAUAUUGACAAAGUCACUACACGCGCCUCGUACUCGACGAAAAUAUCUCCUGCCACCGAACAAACAUCAUCGAAAAACCUGAAAUAAAUUAAAAAAAAAUGCGAGCAUCACUGCCAAGUCUAGGAAUUGAAUCCUCGUAGGUUUGUUCCAUCAUAAGGAACAUAAGCAUAUGAAUUACGCUCAAUUCACAGCCUCACAGAUGUUGAAGCCGUUCGCUGCACACAUGUAUGAUUGCAACCUUGACAUGAAGAAAUGUGAUAGGUAAUAGGAGAGUCUUAGGAGGAUGAGGUUGAUGACAUGCCACUAGUGCAGAACCGGGCAAUAGCACCGGUUCGUAAGACCCUUUAGUGCCGGUUCGGUAACCGGCACUAAAGUGUGGGCACUAAAGCCCCCCUCUCCCCCUUAGUACCGGUUCAGCACGAACCGGUGCUAAAGGGCAACCACGUGGCACGAGCCAGCUCCGGGGGCAGGGAGCCCUUUAGUACCGGUUGGUGACACCAACCGGUAUUAAAAUGUUGGGGGAUUUUUGGUUUAUGAUUUCUUUUUCAUUUAAUUUUGUGUUUUCCAUUUAAUUCUUUUUCGUUUGCUGGUAUUUUACGAUACUACAUAUUGUACACGUUAUGCAUAUANNNNNNNNNNNNNNNNNNNNNNNNNNNNNNNNNNNNNNNNNNNNNNNNNNNNNNNNNNNNNNNNNNNNNNNNNNNNNNNNNNNNNNNNNNNNNNNNNNNNNNNNNNNNNNNNNNNNNNNNNNNNNNNNNNNNNNNNNNNNNNNNNNNNNNNNNNNNNNNNNNNNNNNNNNNNNNAAUAGAAUUUCUAGUAGAACCGGUCAUAUAUAUAUAUAUAUAUAUAUAUAUAUAUAUAUAUAUAUAUAUACACACACACACACACACACACACAACCACCAUUAAUUCACACAUAUAUAUACACAUGUAUAUAUAUAUACAAUUAGCUAGCUAUAUACAAUUUCUCCUAAUUGGUGCCUUCGGAGCCAGUGGCAUUAGCCUAAUUGGUGCCUUCGGAGCACGAUGACAAUUGAAAGUGGUUCAUGGGGGCGGUAGCGGGUAAUAGUAUUCUCCUUUGGGAUCUAUGACCUGGUCGAGCAAAAAUCCCGCUAUUUUCUUUUGAAUUGCUUCUAUGCGCUCCUCUGCUAGGAGCUGCUCCUGCACCUCUCUGAACUGUUAAGGAGAUCAAUAUGCAUGUGUAUUAGUUGUGUGACUAGAUAUCGAUAAUGGUGUAAAAAUUAUAAAUAGUGUUCUGACAAACGUACCUAGUCCUGUCUUUGAGAUCUGCUCCUUUCGGACGCCAUCAUGCGAAUGUUCUCGCAAACGUAGUAUGCACACAUAUUAUUCCCCGACGCCUGCUUUAGGGCCUUUACGAGAAUGGAAUUUGAUCAGAUAAUAAUUAAUCAAACAUGAUAAUUAAAGAGAUGGCAGCUAGCUAGCUAGUACUACUUAAUUACUUACCUUGGGUCAAUACCAUUUUAGCUUUCGUUUCCAUUGGCCUGGAGUGACGCUGAUGAACUUUGCCCAAGCCCCGCCCACCGACAAAGAAAAUGAAUAAAGUGGUUAUUAAAUAGUUCAUAUCAGGAAAUGACGAACUAAAUAGGCCGAGAUAUAGUUAAUAAUGAUUGAAAUUACCUGUUGACUAUCCCAAACAAAAUGGUGUAGUCACUUUCUUUUUUAAGUAGUGAGUCCAGUAUUUCAACUGUUCCUUCAUCAACUUUAAUGAUUAACAAGAUCUAGUGAAAUCUGCAUACACACACGUUUGCAUGUCUUAAUUAAGCGGGCAUAUGUAAGCAAAAACAUGUAGCUAGCUAGUAGGCAAAAAUAGAAUUUAUAGUACAUGACAGUGUGACUCACUCGAAGUUGUAAGGAAGUAGUAUAUCUUCAUUGGUAUUGAGGCGCUUGAAGAACUCUAGCAUGCUUUCCUCUACACUUUUUUCAUAAUAUGCAUCUAAUUUCCAUGUGUAUUCAUUAAUGGUAUUUGGGUCAAUGAACCCAAUGCCAUAGUGUCCACCUUUUUUCAUUUCAUACAUCUUCAUCCCGCAUAAUACCACAGAAAAGAAUAUAGUGAGGAUAAUUACAGGUAAUGAUUGAUCACAAUGAUCACCACAGCUAGCUUGAGACUUAAAUUACAGAAAGAAAUCACUUACAAACAAUAGCAACUGACGAUAGAUUUGUCGAGUGCGUCUUGAUUGUAUAACUGAAAUAGUUCUGAAUACUCAACGGACACAACUUUCUCACGGAAGUAAUGAUCCUUCUUGACAUUCACCAUGAGGGACUCUCGAUUAGAAAUCUUGGUAAUGUCCAUGUACCAUUGAUGCAAUUCAUACAUUCUCAUUGGGAGCUUCUUGAUCUCGUCUGGCUCGACCAAAGGUUGGCCCCGGACAUAUUUCCGUUUUAUUUCCUCCUCUCUAAGCAGAGACAUGGGCUCGAUAUCGAGGAGUUGUCCAACAGUGAUCAUGAGCCUUUUAGCCUACUCAAUAUGCUCCUCGGUUAUUACCACAUCGCCCAGUCUGGGAACGUUAACGGUUUGCCCACAAUAAUAUUGAGCGCGUACUCUCAUGUGUUGUUGGCACAACAAGCGGGGGAUUGAUUGCGCCGCCUGUUCUCCCAGCCGGGGAACGGUUUUACCGCUCCUUUUGCCAGCUGAUUUGCUCGAGCUCGAGCUCGCCUCUUUCUGUAGACAUGCUCGAUUUAACUUCCUGAGGUGGCGCUCAUAGUCUGUGUCAACAGGCUUGGGAGCUGGUGGUCUAGCCAUACGAAUGAAGUGGUCAAUCUUUUCCUCAGGCACUUUCUCCCCUUGCGGUGGUGGCGGUUUCGGUGCAAAAUGGGCUUCCACCUUGGCCUUUGAUAUGGCUGCAUUUUCCUCCCCGGACUCGUCAUAAGGCCUAUGUGGAAGUGGCGUGAGGCUGCUUGGACCAUAUUGAAAUCACUUGCCUCCGCAUGUACCUCCCGUCCUACCUCGACUUGUACCGCUACGCACCAUAGCUGCAGUGGCUCUCUUCCGUGAUUGCAGAGGCAGCGGAGAUGGCUGACGUGGCUGAGUUGGAUGAGGAGGAGUGGCCUGAAGCUGUGCCGGACUUGGAGAAGGAGUGGCCUGAAGUUGUGCCGGACUUGGAGGAGGAGUGGUGUGACGUUGUGUCGGACUUGGAGGAGGAGUGGACUGACGCUUUGCCGGACUUGGAGGAGGAGGAGUGGCCUGACGCGUUGGUGGACUUGGAGGAGCGGGAGUCUGCUGACUCGAUGGCGGACUUCGACGAGGAGUCAGCUGACGCGGUGUCGGUGGCCUUCGAAAGAUGAUGCAAUCCUUUUUCCAUAGGAUGAUACGAUGUUUGGCCUCUCCCAGUGUGUGCUCCUCGUCACCUCUAGGGAUGUCAAGCUCUAGCCCCGAAUAUUGGUCCACCACCUCAUCAACCAAGACACGAGCAUAGCCCGUUGGAAUUGGGUUGCAAUGGAAGGUUGCCUCGGGGGGAUUUGUAAAAGCAACGACGUCCGCCACCUUCAUGGAUAUGUUCUUCAUUUUAAAGUGUAGCUCGCAGUUAGUGUUCUCCAUGAUGUCAUCCACGGGGUAUCUAUCCAGCAUUGCGUCGCCCGGGGCGGAACCCACGCUGCUUCUCGGCAUGGAUGGGACGGUGCUAUCCAAUGCUGGAUCAUCCUCUAGCUGCUGGAGCUGCUGAGACCCCCUUUGCUGGCUAAGUGAGUCGAUCUGCUCCUGCUACCGCUGGAAUUUGACUGCGAAGUCCGCGUGCGCUGAUUCUAGGCCUUGAAGGCGUUCACAGUCCAGCUUCCUCUGCUCCUCCUCCAUCUUCCUCUUCUUCUCCUCCGCAAUCUUCUUUCUCGCACGGGUUCUGUAGUCGGUGUUCCAGUCCAAAAACCCCUCAGACCACGGAAUAGCGCCCUUGCCUCGUGUUCUUCCCGGGUGUUCAGGAUUUCCCAGGGCACGCGUAAGCUCGUCGUUCUCUCUAUUGGGCUGGAACACCCCCGAUCGAGCCUCUUCUAUUGCAACAAGUAGCUUAUCUUCGGCUCCGUUCAGACAUGCCUUCUUCGAAACUUUGCCUGUCUUCGGGUCCAACUCCCCCCCACGCGCAUAGAACCAAGUCCUGCACCUGGGGGGCCAGCUCAAUGUUUCCGGAGUGACACCUGCAUCCUCCUUCUCUUUCUCAGACUUAUCCCACUUAGGCAUUGCCACCGCGUAGCCACCUGGCCCCAGCUUAUGGAACUUAUCCUUUUUUUCGGCACUGGCCUUGUUUAUUCUCGACCGUUCCUUAGAUAAUUCCGAAUCCUUGAAUUUUACAAAAUCGUCCCAAUGAGCACUUUGCUUCUCUAGUGUUCCCUCGAAUACUGGAGUCUUCCUUCCUCCCUUGACGUACUUGUCCCAUACACGAUUCUUGUGGUUGUUGAAUGCAACCGCCAUCUUCCUAAAAGCAGCGUCCUUGACUUUCUCCACAUCUGCAUCUGUGAAAUGAUCUGGUAGGGUGAAAUGUUCCAUGAGAGUUUCCCAAAGCAGAACUUUUUGUCUAUCGUCGACAAAAGUAAGAUCUGGACGUGGCUUUGCUGGCUCUCUCCAUUCUUGAAGGGAGAUCGGGAGUUGGUCCUUCACAAGAACUCCGCACUGACGAAUGAACUUGUCCGCAAUCUUCUUAGGCGCUAAUGGUUCGCCAUUAGGUUUGAUGGCCUCGAUAUUGUACUUUACGCCCUCCUUCAACUUUUUGUUCGGGCCUCGUUUCCUGCUGCCUGAAGAUUUGCUUGAUCCGGAUGGCUGAAAGAAGAAAGAUCGAUUCGUUAAUAUAUCUUCAAGUCAUUUAAAACAUGUGAUGAUCACCAGAUGCCUGCUUAUAUAAAUAUACCUCGCCGGUCUUUGUUGUUUAAAGAUCAACAUUUUCUUCAUCAUCAAUAUCAUAAUCAUAGUUCAUGACUUCAUCAAUUCGGUCGUCGCGAUCGAAUAUCAUAUCACCCUCCCCGGUGUUGUUUAGAUAUCCGGAGCCGUCAUAAUCUUCUUCAUUUUGAUCAUCAUCUGGCCCGCGAGGAUGGCGUAUGAUAUCGAACAUGGUCUCUUCUCCCUCUCCGCCGCUAUUGUCCGCCAUAGCUUUUAUUUAACUAAUCCAAAAGAAAUAUAAAACAAUCUAGUAUUCAAAUUACAAUGCAUGGAUGCAAUCAAUUAAUAAGGAAAAACUGAAUCAAUCAUAGUACAUAAUAAGCAUCAUCGAAUAUAAUCUCGAAUACAUCGUCUCGAAUAAUAGAUAUAAUCUCGAAUACAUCGUCUCGAAUAAUAUAUAUCGAAUACAUCACUAGCUAGCUAGCUAAUAAAGAUCGAAUACUAAAGAGUAAUCUAGGCCACUCGUGGUUCCUGAGGCGCGGGCGGUGGACAACCAAAGUGAAGGAACCAUCACUGGAUCAUAACUCGGGUGAUCUCCCCAAAGAACCUGCUAGGUAUUGGAGAAUCUGACCUCCAUAGCAGCCAUGUAGCGAUGGACGUGCUCGUCCUCCUCCGCACCGAAAGUGGCCCACGCGAAUGCCACCAAAGGAGAUCAUGUUCGAUGAUGGGACCCGGGGUCGGGUUCCUCACCAAGCGCCGCGCCCCUGAAGGUAGCACCUCCCAGUGCCAACCCGGCGGAGCCCAGUCCCGGACAUGGGUCCUCUGAAGCAGGACGUCGUCGCGAACGGGUCGCCGGCGAGGAUGCGGGCGGGCAUCAUCGACAACAAAUACUAAAUGCCGCAAAAGUAAAGUAACAUUUUUUAAAUGAUGGAUUGUGAUUUCAUAUAUGCAAAUUCUAAAUUUUAUAACUAAAAAUAUAAGAAACUAAAAAACAUCGAUCAUCAUCUAACAAUUUGAAAUUAAUCCAAUUCAUCUAGCUAAAACUAACAUUUCCACAUUUGUAUAAAAACAAAAAAACCUUUGACAUUAUAUAUAUUAUAACUAACAUUUCUAUAUACUAUUUGACAUUAAUCUAAUCUAAUUAAUUGAUUCAUCUAAAACUUUGUAUGAAAAACAGAAAACAUAAAAACUAAAAACAGAAAAAUUGUGUGUGUGUGCGCGUGUAGUGCGUGUGUGUGUGUGCGCGCGUCAUGUAGUGUGUGUGUGUGUGUGCGCGCGCGCGCGUGUGUGUAGUAGCUACGGCCGGCGCCGGCGGCGCGGUGGCUUUGAUCGAUUGGAGGGAGGAGAGGGGCUAAGGGAGGGGCUCACAGCGCGCGCGGGCGAGGUCGAGGCGACGGCGACGGCGAGGCGAGGUCGAUCCAAUUGGCGACGGCGACGACGAGGCGAGGGGAUGGCGAUGGGCCGGUGCGGCGACGGGGACUGGCCGGCGACAGGGGCGAGGCGGAGUCGACGGGGACGACGCGACAGGGGCGGCGACGGCGCGGGACGGGGCGGCGGCAGAGAGAAGUGGGAGAUGAGAAACUGAAUUUUUUCGAAGUGUUUGUUAUAUAGGGGACACCUUUAGUACCGGUUGGUGCCACCACCCGGUACUAAAGGCCUGUUUUGGCCAGGCCAAGCGGCGGGAAGAGCAUACCUUUAGUACCGGGUGGUGCGCUGGCGCAGGUGCAGUGCGGCAAGUUUAGUCCCACCUCGCUAGCGGAGGGGCGCCCGCACUGAUUUAUAAGCCCUAGUGCGGUAGCUCUCUCGAGCUCCUCUCAUAAGCAGGCCUUCCGGGUCUACGUCUGCUGCUAUGCCCUGAUGGGCCUAUUGGGCUAGCGGGCCUGCAUCCUGGCCCAAUUAGAAUUUGGGUUUCUAGUCGUAUGCAGGCUGCUGUGGCCCAGUAGGUGGGCUUUUUUAUUUAGUUUUUUCUUUUCUGCUUUAUUUAUUUUGUUUUAUUUAGUUUUAGUUGUUUUUUUGCUGUAUUUAGAGUUUCUUUGUGAAUAUUUUUGCUUUAGGUACAAAAAAUUAGAAACUUUCUGUUAGUGCUGGUAGUUUUCAAAUUUGAAUAGUUUAAAUUUUGAAUUAUUUGAAAUUUGUGUGAAUCACUAGUUUGUGAAUAACUUAACUUUAAAAAUACAUUUUUUCAGUGAUUCUUUUUUAUUAUGUUUAAUAUUAAUGUGUUUUAUCAUUAUAUUCAAUUUGGUAAUGCUUAGGUUAUUAAAAAAAUAAAAUGCCUUUGUAACAGAUGAGUUUUCGUCCGAAACCUUGAUAGUUCGAAAGAGAUUGUCCAUUUUGUACACGAAGUGCAUCCAGUUUUUGCCGUAACCCUCUCUGCUUUUUUGCACAUGCUAUGUGGUGAAAUUAUGAUACCAUGCCAACUUUCAACAUUUUUGAAGUUCAUUUGAAGUGUUUUUCAAUUUAGCUGAAAAAAUCAGUAAAUGCAUGAAAGAAUUUGUUUGCACAUAAAAUUUCUUCGCGUUUCAAAUGCCAAAACACAUAACUACCCCUAACUAUUAUAGAGAUUCCCUCCUGGGUGUGAAACAUAGAAGAAAGUGAUGAUAUAUAGUGAAGCCGAUCACAUCCCAGAUCUUUGGGUGUGAAACUUUUUCUUCGCGUGUGUCCCUUUGCGCCGUAACCAUGGAAAAUAUUCAUCAUUUAACAGGAUGCUCGGGUCAAUAUUCACUGUGAAUGGAGCAAUUUCAUCAAACUUUUCAUAAUCUCCUGACAUGUCUGUGUUGUCAUCCACUCCCACGAUGUUUCUCUUCCCAGAAAGAACUAUGUGCCGCUUUGGCUCAUCGUAUGAUGCAUUCGCUUCCUUAUCUUAUCUUUUUCUCGGCUUGGUAGACAUGUCCUUUACAUAGAAAACCUGUGCCACAUCAUUGGCUAGGAUGAAUGGUUCAUCUGCAUACGCAAGAUUGUUGAGAUCCACUAUUGUCAUUCCGUACUGCGGGUCUUCCGUUACCCCGCCUCGUGUCAUAUUGACCCAUUUGCACCGAAACAAAGGGAUCUUCAAACCACGUCUAUACUCAAGUUCCCAUAUGUCCUGUAUAUAACCAUAAUAUGUUUCCUUUCCCGUCUUGGUUUCUGCAUCAAAGCGAAGACCACUGUUUUGGUUGGUGCUCUUAUUAUCUUGGGAGAUCGUGUAAAAUGUAUUACCAUUUAUCUUGUACCCUUUGAAAGUCAUUAUAUUCGAAGAUGGUAACUGGGACAACAAGUAUAGGUCAUCUUCAAUAGAGGCAUCAUGCAUGGUACGUGUCUGCAACCAGCUGGCGAAACUCCUGGUUUGUUCACGUGUAAUCUAGUCAUCAGACCGCUCCGGGUGUUUGGAGCGUAGCAAAUUCUAGUGUUCUUCCAUAUACGGAGCCACAAAGGCGGAAUUCUGUAGAACUGUGUAGUGUGCUUUAGUGAGAGAAUGUUUGUCCAUACAUAUUAUUUGAUCCCCUCCUAGCGUGCCUUUUCCAUCCAGUCUGCCCUUAUGCCGCGAUUCAGGAACACAAAUCGGCUUAAGGUUAGGAAUAAAUUCAAUACAAAACUCAAUGACCUCCUCAUUUUCAUGGCCCUUGGAGAUGCUUCCUUCUGGCCUAGCACGGUUAUGAACAUAUUUCUUUAAGACUCUCAUGAACCUCUCAAAGGGGAACAUAUUGUGUAGAAAUACAGGACCCAAAACAUUAAUCUCUUCGCAUAGGUGAACUAGGACGUGUGUCAUGAUGUUGAACAAGGAUGGUGGGAACACCAACUCGAAACUGACAAGACAUUGCACCAAAUCAUUCUCUAACCUUGGUAUGAUUUCUGGAUCGAUUACCUUCUGAGAGAUUGCAUUGAGGAAUGCACAUAGCUUCACAAUGGCUAAUCGAACAUUUUCCGGUAGAAACCCCCUCAAUGCAACCGGAAGCAGUUGCAUCAUAAUCACGUGGCAGUCAUGAGACUUUAGGUUCUGGAACUUUUUCUCUGCCAUGUUUAUUAUUCCCUUUAUAUUCGACGAGAAGCCAGACGGUACCUUAAUACUGAGCAGGCAUUCAAAGAAGAUUUCCUUCUCUUCUUUGGUAAGAGCGUAGCUUGCAUGACCCUGAUGUAUGCCGUCUUUUCCAUGCAUAUGUUGCUGGUCCUCCCGUGCCUCAGGUGUAUAUUUUGUCUUCCCAUACUGUAACACCCCCAGUGUCAUGCUACAGUAAUCCCCUUUUAAUGGUGUCACGUCAUCAUGUUACUGUUGCUAAUCCUCGCUUGAUCCAGACCUUAAUUCAAAUUCAUGUUCAAACUAAAGUCCAAAAUUCAAUUUUGCCAAACAUGAAAACUAAAAUGUUCAAAGUGUGGCAAAUAAUCCCUGGAUAUUUUUCAUGUUGGAACCAACCUAUUUUGGAUUCCCAAAGUGCCCUUGGAAUUUUAUUCAGUGGUCCAACAAUAAUUAAAUUGGCCUUUUUAGUUUCUAAAAAUGGUUAGACAACUCCUUUUGAGCCCAAACUUUUUGGUGCCAUCUAAGAAUAUUGUCUAGUAUUUAUAUGGCAUGUUUCACAUUUUACUAAAGGUUGUUUGGUGGAACAACUAAAUGCAAAACAUGAGCUAAAAACUAAAACGGUAAAGUUUAAGAAAACAAAAGAAAAGGAGAAAAGCCCCACCAUCUUUUCCCUAUAGACCCAAACCUACAUCCCAGCCCCUGUCCCACUAGGCCUUGGCCCAACUAGCAACAAAAACAAGUCCAGCCCACACCCCAGUCCUCUCCCUCCUCACGCUACAGAAGCAGGGGCAUCGUGGUGGCCAUCCCAUGGCGCCCCUGGUCCCGUGGAGGCCAUCCCGCGCCUCUCCGCCGUCCCCCCGGUGCGUAUAAGACCGCCUCGGCCUCCUAGACGAACCCUAGAUCGCCAGUUCCCCCCUCUCCUCUCCUUUCGCUCCCUUUCUCGAUCCGGACUGGCGCCCAAGCGCUGCCAUGGCUGCGCCGUCGUCAUCCGCAUAGCCGCCGGCAUCCUCUCGCCUCUCCGUCGAGUCCACGAGAUCCGCCCGCUUCCGCUACGUCGUCCUUGACCACGAGUCCGAGUCGGGGAUCACUGCAUCGCCGCCACGCCAUCGUCUUCCUCCUCGGGACGCCGGAGCUCCACCGCCGUCGUUCGUCUGCCUAGGCCUCCCCCAAGCCCACUCUGCUCCUCUACAGGCGCCCUGUGAGCACCUCCCUCUCCUUCCCCCACUCCCCUGUUGUUUCCCGUGCUCGAAGUCCAUCGUUGUCGCCGUAGCCGAACUCAUCGCUGCUGCCGAGCCUCUCCGUCUCGUCCACCAUCGGUCGAGUUCACUUUUGAGCGCGGCUUUGUGCCCGUAGCGCUGCCAGGAGGCCUCCCAGCCGUCCGCGCCUCCUCCAGUGCCUCCUAGCGUGAUCCCCGCCCUGCUCUUCUGCCGCCGCGCUGCUGCUGCAGCCCGCCGCUACCUGCGCUCUGUCGGCUGCCUCCCGUUCCCCCGCCCGCGUCGUCCAUCCCGCCCCUCUCUGCGCCAUCGUCUGCAGCAGCCCCGACGCGCCCGGCGCCCACUGACCCGCGCCCGGCCAUGCCCUGCAUCGCCCGCGGCNNNNNNNNNNNNNNNNNNNNNNNNNNNNNNNNNNNNNNNNNNNNNNNNNNNNNNNNNNNNNNNNNNNNNNNNNNNNNNNNNNNNNNNNNNNNNNNNNNNNNNNNNNNNNNNNNNNNNNNNNNNNNNNNNNNNNNNNNNNNNNNNNNNNNNNNNNNNNNNNNNNNNNNNNNNNNNNNNNNNNNNNNNNNNNNNNNNNNNNNNNNNNNNNNNNNNNNNNNNNNNNNNNNNNNNNNNNNNNNNNNNNNNNNNNNNNNNNNNNNNNNNNNNNNNNNNNNNNNNNNNNNNNNNNNNNNNNNNNNNNNNNNNNNNNNNNNNNNNNNNNNNNNNNNNNNNNNNNNNNNNNNNNNNNNNNNNNNNNNNNNNNNNNNNNNNNNNNNNNNNNNNNNNNNNNNNNGCUAGCGCUGCCGCUGCUCCAGCGCUCCUCCGGCGGCUCCUCCGACCGCGCGCCAUGUCGCGCCUAUCCGCGCGUGCACCCGGCCGCGUCGCCCGGCUCGCCACUUCCUCCCCCCCGCUCGCCUCGCCGCCCGCACGGCCCCUGCCCGCUAGCGCCCGCGCUCUCCUCCCUCGCUAGCCACUGCCAUCAACGUGGCACUAGCCAGGGCCGCCCCGGGUCGCUGCCAGCGGGCCCCAUGGCUGCAGUUGACUAGUCAACUGGCCAAGUUGACCAGCUGACUGGGCAGUUGACCAAGUCAACGGGUCCCCACCGGUCAGUCUCUGGUGCACCCCUGGGUGCACUGCACCAGGUGCACCUAGUUUUAACUGGUGAAUUUUUGGAAAAAUUAAAUAAGAAAUUUCAGAAAUUGUUUAAAUCUUUAGAAAUUCAUAGUAAUUAAACAGUAGCUCGGAUGAAAAUGUUUUCUAUAUGAAAGUUGCUCAGAAAAAUCCAACGAAUCCAAAUGCACGGUCCAUUCACCUGUUACAUGCCCCUAGCAUGUUGAACAUGGAACCGUCCCCUCUCUUUCAUCUAUCCGGAAUCCGCCUAACGCUGGGAAUUCAUCCUCGGGUGUUUAUCCCCGCCGUAUGCAAUGUGUAGUACUACGUUAGGGCAACCCUAGCUCUGCCCGUCGUCAUGUUAUGCCUUGUGAUGCAUUGUUUGCUCUGUAUUUACUGUUUCUUCCCCCUCUUCUCUCCGGUAGACCCCGAGACCGAUGAUGCCGCUGUGAUCGACUACGUCACCGACGACCCUCCUUGUCUGAGCAACCAGGCAAGCAAACCCUCCUUGAGCAUUCCGAUAUCGCCCAUUCUUUCCCUCUCAUGCUUGCAUUAGAACUGCUACUGCUUUCUGUAUGAUCCUACUCUGAUGCAUAGCCUGUUUUGUUACCCGCUUUCAUACCUUACCUGCUUAUCCUAAACUGCUUAGUAUAGGUUGGUUAGUGAUCCAUCAGUGACCCCCUCCUUGUCCCAGUUGCCUCGCUUUAUGUUCGAUGACUCGAUCAUCAUGAUCGACAUCCAGGCCCCGACACCGCACAUCACCCCCCUAGUUGUAUGACUCUGCAGAGUUACCAUCGAGUGCCGAGGGUGGAACCUCUUACAUCACUCCUGAUGAGAUCUUUGUAGUAUAGCUAUUCGAUCGUGAUCAUCGAGGGUGAUUUCCUCCUUAACCACUUCCGAUACGACUCUGUCAUGCAACCCGUCAAGUGUCAACCUCGAGGGUGGUCCCUCUUAUGUUCACCUUGAUGAUUACAUCGAGUGGAAUUCACCAGGGGUGAUUCCUCGGGUUUUCCCCUUGAUGUUUGGACACACGGUUACUAUGGUUACUAUGACGUUAUAGUGAACCAUGUUACUAAAGAUGGGUCGGCCCUGAGGGGUACCUGCGCGAGCUUAAUAGCGAGUGAUGUGGAGUCGGGUUGACCUGGAAGGUGCCCGUGAGAUACUUACGAGGCGUGGCCGGGCAUUCUUAGCCCUUGCCGCAAGUACUCGAGACGGGGCGAUGGGGUCACAUCGAUCGUGAGUCUCUGCUCGUUACCGCAUGUUCCUAAUCCACUAUGAUUUGGAUAUUUGAUCCGAGGGGCCUUUGGCCUGAUAGCACUAACCAUCACGUGGGCAUAGUAUGGGCGUUCUGCAUCGUAUACAUCAGCCGAAGCUUAAUAGACGUCAGCGACUGAGUGGCGCGCGCGGGGUUGGACUGGAAAGCACCUACCUUGUUGAACGAGGUAGCUAGGUCUGCUCACCGGCCGCGUACGCAACAUGCAGGAGUUCCUGGGGAGAUGGCCCAUGACCCCUGGGGGCAUAGGUUUAGUCCGGCGUGCUGGCCUCUCUAUUAAGCCUAGGUCAGGUUGCGGCAUAUUGUUUGGCCGAGGCCGGGCAUGACCCAAGAAAGUGUGUCCGGCCGGAGUUAAUCGAGCGUGGUGGGUAAGUUGGUGCUCCCCUGCAGGGAAGAAAACAUCUAUCGAUAGCCUGUCCUACGGUAACGGACACUUGGAGUUGUAUCCCGAUUGAUACAACUAGAACUGUAUACUCGUGAUGAGAAAUGGAUGGUGAUGAGAAUUGGAUUGUGAUGAUAACUGGAUAGUAUGGCUCUGGGAUUGCUUUCUCGCAGGGAGUCGAGAAAGGAUCUCUGGCCGAGGUUGAUAACACUUCUACUACUUUACUUUAUGCUACUCUACUCCCUCCUGUUGCUGCAAGAUGGUGGUUUCCAGAAGAUGCUAGUCUUCGAUAGGCUAGGCUUUCCCCUUCCCUUUUGGCAUUCUGCAGUUUAGUCCACAGAUACAACCCAUUCCUUUGAUACAGAUGCAUACUUAGUUUAGAUCUGAUGUAAGUCUUGCGAGUACUUUGGAUGAGUACUCACGGCUGCUUUGCUACCUCUUUUCCCCCAUACCCGAUUGUUGUGACCAGAUGACGGAUCCCAGGAGCCAGACGACACCACUGAUGACUACUGCUACCCCGAGGGUGCCUACUACUACGUGGAGACCGCCGACAACCAGGAGUAGUUAGGAGGCUCCCAGGCAGGAGGCCUUGCCUUUUCGAUCGUUGUUGCUUUUGUGCUAGCCUUCUUAAGGCAAACUUGUCUAACUUAUGUCUGUACUCAGAUAUUGUUGCUUCCGCUGACUCUUGUGUAUUCGAGCUUAUGUAUUCGAGCCCUCGAGGCCCUUGGCUUGUAAUAUAAGGCUUGUAUUAUUUUAAUUUGUGUCUAGAGUUGUGUUGUGAUAUCUUCCCAUGAGUUCUUGAUCUUGAUCGUACACAUUUGCGUGUAUGAUCAGUGUACGGUCAAAUCGGGGGCGUCACAAGUUGGUACCAGAGCCGACUGCCUAUAGGUAGCCCCCUUUCCAACUCCUUGGCCGAAGUCGAGUCUAGUUACUGAAAAACUUUUACUAACAUGGCUGUGUGCCUUACGGGCCCACAUCGCCAUUGGGUGGUAUUAGGAUCUUUUAUUCCUCGUCUAUACUCUGGGACUCUGAUCUCUCGUCUAUUCGGGUUAAACUUUUUACUAACUCUGACUCUAGGAUCUCGUAACCACUUCCUCCCAGGGAGCCCCGACAUUACCGAUGAUCGCUUGCUUCGCCGGAAGAUUCUGCAGAUACUCCUCGAUGUUUGUCGAGACCAUGUGCCCACUGCCUUGUAGUUCCUGACCAUAGUUAAUCCCCGUGAAUAAUAUCCUUGCCGCUUGUACCUUCAUAUCCAGUUGCUCCUAUUAUUACAAGAUGUAUUCUCCGUUGUUUCGAGAAUCCUUUGUGCCUUCUGCUUUGCGGCUUAUUUUUGCACUACGGAUAAUUCAUUGAACCCGUUCAUCCCCAAUUGUUCAUGUGGUUCACAAAAUUCUUCGAAAUACUAUUCUAUUUUAUGAAAAUCCUCAGCAGCCUAUUGCUCCUGAAUUCCUUGCCUUCCUCCAUUAUGGUUAAUUCCAUAUUUCUAGUAAUCCCCGUUGACAUCCUUUGUCACUAUCAUUUCGAGUCCCUUGAUUCAAUAUGUUGCGAAUGCAUGGAAUCCUCUGUCGAAUCCUAGAAUUCAUCCUUCUGGCUCAGACAUCAUUUUAACACAUGAGAUGGAUCUCGACCAGUCAAAUUGUCGUCGAUUGUACCCCUUAGGCUAUUCAACUUAUCCAUCCCUAAUCAGAGCAUUGCUUCUGAUCCCUUGUCUUGGAAUUCAUAAUUCCUUUGCAUUUGAGCCUUGAGUUAGUCAGUUGUUUCUAUAAUCAGAUGCACAUGCAUUCCUUCUUCCUUUGAUAGAGUACCGAUACUCACAUCAGCUCCGUUGUAGACCACCAGACCUCUUGUUGGAUUAUUAUCAAACAAUGUCCUUCAUAUUCAAGUAACCUUGUGGGCCUUUCCACGGAUAUAUAAAGCCUUUGGUAAAUUGUAUCCUCUGCUUCCUCAACCAUGCUUUGUUUUCGAGCUGGUGGUAUUUACUAUUAAAGCUUGUGGUAUAUGUUUCCACGAUACCCUGACGGGUUGAACCUAUGCCUUCCUUAUUAUGUGUGAACUCGAAAGUUUUCACGACUCAUACUCUUCUGGUAUUUUGCUAAAUAAAAUUUCUACACUAUGGCUUCAUCAAAAGCGAGAAGUAAAAUGAAAGGUUAUGCAUGGAAGAAGUGGGAGUCGACCUUGAGCCUUUGUGUUCAUGCCCAUGGACCCGACGUGAAACUUAUCAUCGAAGCUUCUUGUAAAUGAUAUUAAUCCCCUUGUUGUAAGUUCGUCCUGUAUCUAUGCUUGGUCCUUUGCAAUCAUGGCUCCGACCAUAUUUUCUCAUUAAUACCAUUUAUCGGACAAAUUAAGUACUUGUCUUGUGCAGAUCAUUGCACCUGUCCAACCUUUACUUUGAUCUACCAUCGAGUAGUACACUAGGAUAUCUUGAUAAUGUCAUGGAACUGCAUAACUUCUUAUGGGUUCUUCAUCAACUGUUAUUUCUCACCGAUUUCAAUUUUUCUAGGUUCUGGGUUGUCGUCAACUGAGAACACCGACACCGAUAUGUGAAUCAUUUCCUCAUUCCGGUUCGAUAACCCUAAUUAAUUUUCGUUGCUUAUGAGUUUAAUAAUCCUUCCCGUCAUUCCUAGCCUGAUCGGUUAUACCAUUAUUGGGCUAAUUUUUAACUGUGCUACCUGGUCCUUAUCCCCGAAAUUGUAACACUUAUUCUAUGAGUGGUUCCUGAUGGAUCCUUUCUGUAUCCAAAGUCUGACGUUUGCUUAAAGACCUUGUCAAUGCUAUCUCGAAGCAUGCUUGUGGUACUCUGAUUUUCAAUAAAAACAUUUGAACCACAAUGCUAAACUUUUCCUUAUCAAUUAUUCAAACACUGUUGUAUGGGUAAGGUCAUUAAAUUCUUUCCCUUUACCCAAUUGGUUAUCUACUUACUAUCCUGUCAUGGAUAUCAUCCUCUGCUUGUCCUUGGGAAGGAUAUACUCAUGAUAAUUGUGUUUAAACACAUUUUCCUUUCCAUUGUUCUGAUUAAUAUACUAAUCAUAUUUUUCCUUUCCAUUCUUUUGUUUAACCUUUCCGAUAAACUAACUUAUCUCAGUAGAGAUAAUUUCUUGCUUAGGUAAGCACCUCAAUGUACAACUCUGUCAGUAAAUACCCUGUUACUAUUGUUGAUGACAUUCCGGUAGCCAUCGAUGGACAAGAACUUUGCCUAACGGCCCGCCUCGUUCAACAAGCAGGAAAAUGGUUCUCUUCGUCCCUCGCCCUUGGUACCGACGUUGUUGCCGCCAUAACUGACAGGCUAGCCUCUGACAUGCCUUGCUAUCAUGACCGUGCAAGAUGUCAUCGCUCCUUCUAUUUUAACCCACAUGGUGAGCCCAUAACCCACAGUUCCACAGGAUCGGAACCUGACUCUCCUGUAUAUCCUUUAUUCCGAAGUAUCAUUUGCUCUUGGCUUCGUGUGUUGUCACGAGCCACCGUCCGAGAGAUGAUAUAUUCCCGAUGCUCUGAACCCCCUUCUCACACUCCGUUCAGGUAUCGAUCGUUUGUCCAUUCACUUGAAACUUCCUAUUGUACCUUCAUAUUUUGCUCUCGAUGUUUUCUUAAGUUUCAACUCCAGAGAUACUUUUGCCACAUUCCCUGAAUUGUUCAGCAGAUAAUUAACCCUAUAAGGGUCAGUUCUCCCGAAGUUACUCUUUACUUCCGCACUUAAAUCUCGGGACGAGAUUUCUUAUAGUGGAGGAGAUUUGUAACACCCCCAGUGUCAUGCUACAGUAAUCCCCUUUUAAUGGUGCCACAUCAUCAUGUUACUGUUGCUAAUCCUCGCUUGAUCUAGACCUUAAUUCAAAUUCAUGUUCAAACUAAAGUCCAAAAAUCAAUUUUGCCAAACAUGAAAACUAAAAUGUUCAAAGUGUGGCCAAUAAUCCCUGGAUAUUUUUCAUGUUGGAACCAACCUAUUUUGGAUUCCCAAAGUGCCCUUGGAAUUUUAUUUAGUGGUCCAACAAUAAUUAAAUUGGCCUUUUUAGUUUCUAAAAAUGGUUAGACAACUCCUUUUGAGCCCAAACUUUUUGGUGCCAUCUAAGAAUAUUGUCUAGUAUUUAUAUGGCAUGUUUCACAUUUUACUAAAGGUUGUUUGGUGGAACAACUAAAUCCAAAACAUGGGCUAAAAACUAAAACGGUAAAGUUUAAGAAAACAAAAGAAAAGGAGAAAAGUCCCACCAUCUUUUCCCUAUAGACCCAAACCUACAUCCCGGCCCUGUCCCACUGGGCCUUGGCCCAACUAGCAACAAAAACAAGCCCAGCCCACACCCCAGUCCUCUCCCUCCUCACGCUACAGAAGCNNNNNNNNNNNNNNNNNNNNNNNNNNNNNNNNNNNNNNNNNNNNNNNNNNNNNNNNNNNNNNNNNNNNNNNNNNNNNNNNNNNNNNNNNNNNNNNNNNNNNNNNNNNNNNNNNNNNNNNNNNNNNNNNNNNNNNNNNNNNNNNNNNNNNNNNNNNNNNNNNNNNNNNNNNNNNNNNNNNNNNNNNNNNNNNNNNNNNNNNNNNNNNNNNNNNNNNNNNNNNNNNNNNNNNNNNNNNNNNNNNNNNNNNNNNNNNNNNNNNNNNNNNNNNNNNNNNNNNNNNGCGCGUAUAAGACCGCCUCGGCCUCCUAGACGAACCCUAGAUCGCCAGUUCCCCCCUCUCCUCUCCACUCGCUCCCUUUCUCGAUCUGGACCGGCGCCCGAGCGCUGCCAUGGCUGCGCCGUCGUCGUCCGCAUAGCCGCCGGCAUCCUGAGUCCACGAGAUCCGCCCGCUUCCGCUACGUCGUCCUCGACCACGAGUCCGAGUCGGGGGUCACUGCAUCGCCGCCACGCCAUCGUCUUCCUCCUCAGGACGCCGGAGCUCCACCGCCGCCAUGUUGGGGAAUGUAGUAAUUUCAAAAAGUUUCCUACGCACACGCAAGAUCAUGGUAAUGCAUAGCAACGAGAGGGGAGAGUGUAGUCUACGUACCCUCGUAGACUGAUAGUGGAAGCGUUAUGACAACGCGGUUGAUGUUGUCGUACGUCUUCACGGCCCGACCGAUCAAGCACCGAAACUACGACACCUCCGAGUUCUAGCACACGUUCAGCUCGAUGACGAUACCCGAACUUCGAUCCAGCAAAGUGUCAGGGAAGAGUUCCGUCAGCACGACGGUGUGGUGACGAUCUAGAUGUUCUACUGUCGCAGGGCUUUGCCUAAGCACCACUACAAUAUUAUCGAGGACUAUGGUGGAGGGGGGCACCGCACACGGCUAAGAGAACGAUCUUGAAGAUCAACUUGUGUGUCUAGAGGUGCCCCCCUGCCCCCGUAUAUAAAGGAGCAAGGGGGGAGGCCGGCCAGCCCUUGGGGUGCGCCAAGGAGGAGGAGUCCUCCUCCUAGUAGGAGUAGGACUCCCCUCUUUCCUACUCCAACUAGGAGGGGGAAAGGAAGGUGGAGAGGGAGAAGGAAAGGGGGGCGCCGCCCCCCCUCUCCUAGUCCAAUUUGUACCAGAGGGGGAGGGGGCGCGCGGCCCACACUGGCCGCCCCUGUCUCUCUCCACUAGGGCCCAUAAAGCCCAUUACUUCUCCCAGGGGGUUCCGGUAACCCUCCGGCACUCCGGUUUUCUCCAAAAUCACCCGGAACACUUCCGGUGUCCGAAUAUAGCCGUCCAAUAUAUCAAUCUUUAUGUCUCGAUCAUUUCGAGACUCCUCGUCAUGUCCGUGAUCACAUCCGGGACUCCGAACGAACUUCGGUACAUCAAAAUAUAUAAACUCAUAAUGAAACUGUCAUCGUAAUGUUAAGCGUGCGGACCCUACGUGUUCGAUAACAAUGUAGACAUGACCGAGACAUGUCUCCGGUCAAUAACCAAUAGCGGAACCUGGAUGCUCAUAUUGGCUCCCACAUAUUCUAAGAAGAUCUUUUACCGGUCAGACCGCAUAACAACAUACUUUGUUCCCUUUGUCAUCGGUAUGUUACUUGCCCGAGAUUCGAUCGUCGGUAUCUCAAUACCUAGUUCAAUCUCGUUACCGGCAAGUCUCUUUACUCGUUUCGCAAUACAUCAUCUUGCAACUAACUCAUUAGUUGCAAUGCUUGCAAGGCUUAUGUGAUGUGCAUUACCGAGAGGGCCCAGAGAUACCUCUCCGACAAUCGGAGUGACAAAUCCUAAUCUCGAAAUACGCCAACCCAACAUGUACCUUUGGAGACACCUGUAGAGCUCCUUUAUAAUUACCCAGUUACAUUGUGACGUUUGGUAGCACACAAAGUGUUCCUCUGGCAAACGGGAGUUGCAUAAUCUCAUAGUCAUAGGAACAUGUAUAAGUCAUGAAGAAAGCAAUAGCAACAUACUAAACGAUCGGGUGCUAAGCUAAUGGAAUGGGUCAUGUCAAUCACAUCAUUCUCCUAAUGAUGUGAUCCCGUUAAUCAAAUGACACCACAUGUCUAUGGUUAGGAAACAUAACCAUCUUUGAUUAACGAGCUAGUCAAGUAGAGGCACACUAGUGACGUUUAGUUUGUCUAUGUAUUCACACAAGUAUUAUGUUUUCGGAUAAUACAAUUCUAGCAUGAAUAAUAAACAUUUAUCAUGAUAUAAGGAAAUAAAUAAUAACUUUAUUAUUGCCUCUAGGGCAUAUUUCCUUCAGUCUCCCACUUGCACUAGAGUCAAUAAUCUAUAUUUACACAGUAAUGAUUCUAACACCCAUGGAGCUUUGGUGCUGAUCAUGUUUUGCUCGUGGAAGAGGCUUAGUCAACGGGUCUGCUACAUUCAGACCCGUAUGUAUCUUGCAAAUCUCUAUGUCUCCCACCUGGACUAGAUCCCGGAUGGAAUUGAAGCGUCUCUUGAUGUGUUUGGUUCUCUUGUGAAAUCUGGAUUCCUUUGCCAAGGAAAUUGCACCAGUAUUGUCACAAAAGAUUUUCAUUGGACCCGAUGCACUAGGUAUGACACCUAGAUCGGAUAUGAACUCCUUCAUCCAGACUCCUUCGUUUGCUGCUUCCGAAGCAGCUAUGUACUCCGCUUCACAUGUAGAUCCCGCCACAACACUUUGUUUAGAACUGCACCAACUGACAGCUCCACCGUUUAAUGUAAACACGUAUCCGGUUUGCGAUUUAGAAUCGUCCGGAUCAGUGUCAAAGCUUGCAUCAACGUAACCAUUUACGAUGAGCUCUUUGUCACCUCCAUAUACGAGAAACAUAUCCUUAGUCCUUUUCAGGAAUUUUAGGAUGUUCUUGACCGCUGUCCAGUGAUCCACUCCUGGAAUACUAUGGUACCUCCCUGCUGGACUUAUAGCAAGACAUACAUCAGGUCUGGUACACAGCAUUGCAUACAUGAUAGAGCCUAUGGCUGAAGCAUAGGGAACACCUUUCAUUUUCUCUCUAUCUUCUGCAGUGGUCGGGCAUUGAGUCUUACUCAAUUUCACACCUUGUAACACAGGCAAGAAUCCUUUCUUUGCUUGAUCCAUUUUGAACUUCUUCAAAAUUUUGUCAAGGUAUGUGCUUUGUGAAAGUCCAGUUAAGCGUCUUGAUCUAUCUCUAUAGAUCUUAAUGCCCAAUAUGUAAGCAGCUUCACCGAGGUCUUUCAUUGAAAAACUCUUAUUCAAGUAUCCCUUUAUGCUAUCCAGAAAUUCUAUAUCAUUUCCGAUUAGUAAUAUGUCAUCUACAUAUAAUAUCAGAAAUGCUACAGAGCUCCCACUCACUUUCUUGUAAAUACAGGCUUCUCCAAAAGUCUGUACAAAACCAAAUGCUUUGAUCACAUUAUAAAAGCGUUUAUUCCAACUCCGAGAGGCUUGCACCAGUCCAUAAAUGGAUCGCUGGAGCUUGCACACUUUGUUAGCUCCCUUUGGAUCGACAAAACCUUCCAGCUGCAUCAUAUACAACUCUUCUUCCAGAAAUCCAUUCAGGAAUGCAGUUUUGACAUCCAUCUGCCAAAUUUCAUAAAAUGCGGCAAAUGCUAACAUGAUUCGGACAGACUUAAGCAUCGCUAUGGGUGAGAAGGUCUCAUCGUAGUCAAUCCCUUGAACUUGUCAAAAACCUUUUGCGACAAGUCGAGCUUUGUAGACAGUAACAUUACCGUCAGCGUCAGUCUUCUUCUUGAAGAUCCAUUUAUUCUCAAUUGCUUGCCGAUCUUUGGGCAAGUCAACCAAAGUCCAUACUUUGUUCUCAUACAUGGAUCCCAUCUCAGAUUUCAUGGCUUCAAGCCAUUUUGCGGAAUCUGGGCUCACCAUCGCUUCUUCAUAGUUCGUAGGUUCAUCAUGAUCUAGUAGCAUGACUUCCAGAACAGGAUUACCGUACCACUCUGGUGCGGAUCUUACUCUGGUUGAUCUACGAGGUCUAGUAAUAACUUGUUCUGAAGUUUCAUGAUCAUCAUCAUUAGCUUCAUCACUAAUUGGUGUAGGUGUCACAGAAACCGGUUUCUGUGAUGUACUACUUUCCAAUAAGGGAGCAGGUACAGCUACCUCAUCAAGUUCUACUUUCCUCCCACUCACUUCUUCCGAGAGAAACUCCUUCUCUAGAAAGUUUCCGAAUUUAGCAACGAAAGUCUUGCCUUCGGAUCUAUGAUAGAAGGUGUAUCCAAUAGUUUCUUUUGGAUAUCCUAUGAAGACACAUUUAUCUGAUUUGGGUUCGAGCUUAUCAGGUUGAAGCUUUUUCACAUAAGCAUCGCAGCCCCAAACUUUCAGAAACGACAACUUUGGUUUCUUGCCAAACCACAGUUCAUAAGGCGUCAUCUCAACGGAUUUUGAUGGUGCCCUAUUUAACGUGAAUGCGGCCGUCUCUAAAGCAUAACCCCAAAACGAUAGCGGUAAAUCAGUAAGAGACAUCAUAGAUCGCACCAUAUCUAGUAAAGUACGAUUACGAUGUUCGGACACACCAUUACACUGUGGUGUUCCGGGUGGCGUGAGUUGCGAAACUAUUCCGCAUUGUUUCAAAUGUACACCAAACUUGUAACUCAAAUAUUCUCCUCCACGAUCAGAUCAUAGGAAUUUUAUUUUCUUGUUACAAUGGUUUUCAACUUUACUCUGAAAUUCUUUGAACUUUUCAAAUGUUUCAGACUUAUGUUUCAUUAAGUAGAUAUACCCAUAUCUGCUUAAGUCAUCUGUGAAGGUGAGAAAAUAACGAUAUCCGCCACGAGCCUCAACAUUCAUCGGACCACAUACAUCUGUAUGUAUGAUUUCCAACAAAUCUGUUGCUCUCUCCAUAGUACCGGAGAAUGGUGUUUUGGUCAUCUUGCCCAUAAGGCACGGUUCGCAAGUACCAAGUGAUUCAUAAUCAAGUGGUUCAAAAAGUCCAUCAGUAUGGAGUUUCUUCAUGCGCUUUACACCGAUAUGACCUAAACGGCAGUGCCACAAAUAAGUUGCACUAUCAUUAUCAACUCUGCAUCUUUUGGCUUCAACAUUAUGAAUAUGUGUGUCACUACUAUCGAGAUUUAAUAAGAAUAGACCACUCUUCAAGGGUGCAUGACCAUAAAAGAUAUUACUCAUAUAAAUAGAACAACCAUUAUUCUCUGAUUUAAAUGAAUAACCGUCUCGCAUCAAACAAGAUCCAGAUAUAAUGUUCAUGCUCAACGCUGGCACCAAAUAACAAUUAUUUAGGUCUAAUACUAAUCCCGAAGGUAGAUGUAGAGGUAGCGUGCCGACCGCGAUCACAUCGACUUUGGAACCAUAUCCCACGCGCAUCAUCACUUCGUCCUUAGCCAAUCUUCGCUUAAUCCGUAGUCCCUGUUUCGAGUUGCAAAUAUUAGCAAAAGAACCAGUAUCAAAUACCCAGGUGCUACUACGAGUAUUAGUAAGGUACACAUCAAUAACAUGUAUAUCAUAUAUACCUUUGUUCACCUUGCCAUCCUUCUUAUCCGCCAAAUACUUGGGGCAGUUCCGCUUCCAGUGACCAGUCUGCUUGCAGUAGAAGCACUCAGUUUCAGGCUUAGGUCCAGAUUUGGGUUUCUUCUCCUAAGCAGCAACUUGCUUGCUGUUCUUUUUGAAGUUCCCCUUCUUCUUCCCUUUGCCCUUUUUUUGAAACUAGUGGUCUUGUUGACCAUCAACACUUGAUGCUCCUUCUUGAUUUCUACCUCCGGAGCUUUCAGCAUUGCGAAGAGCUCGGGAAUUGUCUUAACCAUCCCUUGCAUAUUAUAGUUCAUCACGAAGCUCUUGUAGCUAGGUGGAAGUGAUUGGAGAAUUCUGUCAAUGACGCAAUCAUCUGGAAGAUUAACUCCCAAUUGAAUCAAGUGAUUAUUAUACCCAAACAUUUUGAGUAUAUGCUCACUGACAGAACUGUUCUCCUCCAUCUUGCAGCUAUAGAACUUAUUGGAGACUUCAUAUCUCUCAAUUCGGGCAUUUGCUUGAAAUAUUAACUUCAACUCCUAGAACAUCUCAUAUGCUCCAUGACGUUCAAAACGUCAUUGAAGUCCCGAUUCUAAGCCGUAAAGCAUGGCACACUGAACUAUUGAGUAGUCAUCAGCUUUGCUCUGCCAAACGUUCAUAACAUCUGGUGUUGCUCCAGCAGCAGGCCUGGCACCCAGCGGUGGUUCCAGGACGUAAUUCUUCUGUGCAGCAAUGAGGAUAAUCCUCAAGUUACAGACCCAGUCCAUGUAAUUGCUACCAUCAUCUUUCAACUUUGCUUUCUCAAGGAACGCAUUAAAAUUCAACGGAACAACAGCACGGGCCAUCUAUCUACAAUCAAAUAUAAACAAGCAAGAUACUAUCAGGUACUAAGUUCAUGAUAAAUUUAAGUUCAGUUAAUCAUAUUACUAAAUAACUCCCACUUAGAUAGACAUCCCUCUAAUCCUCUAAGUGAUCACGUGAUCCAAAUCAACUAAACCAUGUCCGAUCAUCACGUGAGAUGGAGUAGUUUCAUUGGUGAACAUCACUAUGUUGAUCAUAUCUACUAUAUGAUUCACGCUCGACCUUUCGGUCUCCGUGUUCCAAGGCCAUAUCUGUAUAUGCUUGGCUCGUCAAGUAUAACCUGAGUAUUCCGUGUGUGCAACUGUUUUGCACCCGUUGUAUUUGAACGUAGAGCCUAUCACACCCGAUCAUCACGUGGUGUCUCAGCACGAAGAACUUUCGCAAUGGUGCAUACUCAGGGAGAACACUUCUUGAUAAUUAGUGAGAGAUCAUCUUAAAAUGCUACCGUCAAUCAAAGCAAGAUAAGAUGCAUAAAAGAUAAACAUCACAUGCAAUUAAUAUAAGUGAUAUGAUAUGGCCAUCAUCAUCUUGUGCUUGCGAUCUCCAUCUUCGAAGCACCGUCAUGAUCACCAUCGUCACCGGCGCGACACCUUGAUCUCCAUCGUUGCAUCGUUGUCGUCUCACCAAUCUUAUGCUUCUACGACUAUCGCUACCGCUUAGUGAUAAAGUAAAGCAUUACAGGGCGAUUGCAUUGCAUACAAUAAAGCGACAACCAUAUGGCUCCUGCCAGUUGCCGAUAACUCGGUUACAAAACAUGAUCAUCUCAUACAAUAAAAUUUAGCAUCAUGUCUUGACCAUAUCACAUCACAACAUGCCCUGCAAAAACAAGUUAGACGUCCUCUACCUUGUUUGUUGCAAGUUUUACGUGGCUGCUACGGGCUUUAAGCAAGAACCAAUCUUACCUACGCAUCAAAAGCCACAACGAUAGUUUGUCAAGUUGGUGAUGUUUUAACCUUCGCAAGGACCGGGCGUAGCCACACUCGGUUCAACUAAAGUUGGAGAAACUGACACCCACAAGCCACCUGUGUGCAAAGCACGUCGGUAGAACCAGUCUCGCGUAAGCGUACGCGUAAUGUCGGUCCGGGCCGCUUCAUCCAACAAUACCGCCGAACCAAAGUAUGACAUUCUGGUAAGCAAUAUGACUUAUAUCGCCCACAACUCACUUGUGUUCUACUCGUGCACAACAUCAACGCAUAAAACCAGGCUCUGAUACCACUGUUGGGGAACGUAGUAAUUUCAAAAAAAAUUCCUAUGCACACGCAAGAUCAUGGUGAUGCAUAGCAACGAGAGGGGAGAGUGUAGUCUAUGUACCCUCGUAGACCGACAGCGGAAGCGUUAUGACAACGCGGUUGAUGUAGUCGUAUGUCUUCACGGCCCGACCGAUCAAGCACCGAAACUACGGCACCUCUGAGUUCUAGCACACGUUCAGCUCGAUGACGAUCCCUGGACUCUGAUCCAGCAAAGUGUCAGGGAAGAGUUCCGUCAGCAUGAUGGCGUGGUGACAAUCUUGAUGUUCUACUGUCGCAGGGCUUCGCCUAAGCACCACUACAAUAUUAUCGAGGACUAUGGUGGAGGGGGGCACCGCACACGGCUAAGAGAAUGAUCUUGAAGAUCAAUUUGUGUGUCUAGAGGUGCCCCCUGCCCCCGUAUAUAAAGGAGCAAGGGGGGAGGCCAGCCGGCCCUUGGGGCGCGCCAAGGAGGAGGAGUCCUCCUCCUAGUAGGAGUAGGACUCCCCUCUUUCCUACUCCUACUAGGAGGGGGAAAGGAAGGGGGAGAGGGAGAAGGAAAGGGGGCGCCGCCCCCCCUCUCCUAGUCCAAUUCGGACCAGAGGGGAAGGGGGCGCGUGGCCCACCCUGGCCGCCCCUCUCUCUCUCCACUAGGGCCCAUAAAGCCCAUUACUUCUCCCGGGGGGUUCCGGUAACCCUCCGGCACUCCGGUUUUCUCUGAAAUCACCCGGAACACUUCCGGUGUCCGAAUAUAGCCGUCCAAUAUAUCAAUCUUUAUGUCUCGAUCAUUUCGAGACUCCUCGUCAUGUCUGUGAUCACAUCCGGGACUCCGAACAAACUUCGGUACAUCAAAAUAUAUAAACUCAUAAUGAAACUGUCAUCGUAACGUUAAGCGUGCGGACCCUACGGGUUCGAGAACAAUGUAGACAUGACCGAGACAUGUCUCCGGUCAAUAACCAAUAGCGGAACCUGGAUGCUCAUAUUGGCUCCCACAUAUUCUAUGAAGAUCUUUUAUCGUUCAGACCGCAUAACAACAUACUUUGUUCCCUUUGUCAUCGGUAUGUUACUUGCCCGAGAUUCGAUCGUCGGUAUCUCAAUACCUAGUUCAAUCUCGUUACCGGCAAGUCUCUUUACUUGUUUCGUAAUACAUCAUCUCGCAACUAACUCAUUAGUUGCAAUGCUUGCAAGGCUUAUGUGAUGUGCAUUACCGAGAGGGCCCAGAGAUACCUCUCCGACAAUCGGAGUGACAAAUCCUAAUCUCGAAAUACGCCAACCCAACAUGUACCUUUGGAGACACCUGUAGAGCUCCUUUAUAAUCACCCAGUUACGUUGUGACGUUUGGUAGCACACAAAGUGUUCCUCCGGCAAACGGGAGUUGCAUAAUCUCAUAGUCAUAGGAACAUGUAUAAGUCAUGAAGAAAGCAAUAGCAACAUACUAAACGAUCGGGUGCUAAGCUAAUGGAAUGGGUCAUGUCAAUCACAUCAUUCUCCUAAUGAUGUGAUCCCAUUAAUCAAAUGACACCACAUGUCUAUGGUUAGGAAACAUAACCAUCUUUGAUUAACGAGCUAGUCAAGUAGAGGCACACUAGUGACGUUUAGUUUGUCUAUGUAUUCACACAAGUAUUAUGUUUCCGGACAAUACAAUUCUAGCAUGAAUAAUAAACAUUUAUCAUGAUAUAAGGAAAUAAAUAAUAACUUUAUUAUUGCCUCUAGGGCAUAUUUCCUUCACGCCGUUCGUCUGCCCCAGGCCUCCCCGAGCCCACUCUGCUCCUCUACAGGCGCCCUGUGAGCACCUCCCUCUCCCCCCUACUCCCCUGUCGUUUCCCGUGCCCGUAGGCCAUUGUUACCGCCGUAGCCGAACUCGUCGCCACUGCCGAGCCUCUCCGUCUCAGCCACCAUCGGUCGAGCUCGCUUUCGAGUGUGGCUUCGUGCCCGUAGCGCUGCCAGGAGGCCUCCCAGCCGUCCGCGCCUCCUCCCGUGCCUCCUAGGGCGAUCUCCGCCCCGCUCUUCUGCCGCCGCCGCGCUGCUGCAGCCCGCCGCUACCUGCGCUCUGCCGGCCGCGUCCCAUUCGCCCGCCCGCGUCAUCCAUCCCGCCCCUCUCUGCGCCAUCGCCUGCAGCAGCCCCGGCGUGCCCGGUGCCCGCUGACCCGCGCCCGGCCAUGCCCUGCGUCGCCCGCGACUGCUGCCCUCCCACGCGCAGCUUGCCGCCAUUCCAGCCCCACUGCUCGCCACCGCCGCCCGCUAGCGCUGCCGCUGCUCCAGCGCGCCUCCAGCGGCUCCUCCGACCGCGCGCCCUGUCGCGCCUAUCCGCGCGCGCGCCUAUCCGCGCGCGCGCCCAGCCGCAUCACCCGGCUCGCCACUUCCUCCCCCCCGCUCGCCUCGCCGCCCGCACGGCCCCUGCCCGCCGGCGCCCGCGCUCUUCUCCCUCGCUAGCCACUGCCGCCGACGUGGCACUGGCCAGGGCCGCCCUGGGUCGCUGCCAGCGGGCCCCAUGGCUCCAUUUGACUGGUCAACUGGCCAAGUUGACCAGCUAACUGGGCAGUUGACCAAGUCAACGGGUCCCCACCGGUCAGUCUCUGGUGCACCCCUGGGUGCACUGCACCAGGUGCACCCAGUUUUAACUGGUGAAUUUUCGAAAAAUUUAAAUAAGAAAUUUCAGAAAUUGUUUAAAUCUUUAGAAAUUCAUAGUAAUUAAACCGUAGCUCAGAUGAAAAUGUUUUCUAUAUGAAAGUUGCUCAGAAAAAUCCAACGAAUCCAAAUGCACAGUCCAUUCACCUGUCACAUGCCCCUAGCAUGUUGAACAUGGAACCGUCCCCUCUCUUUCAUCUGUCCGGAAUCCGCCUAACGCUGGGAAUUCAUCCUCGGGUGUUUAUCCCCGCCGUCUGCAACGUGUAGUACUACGUUAGGGAAACCCUAGCUCUGCCCAUCGUCAUGUUAUGCCUUGUGAUGCAUUGUUUGCUCUGUAUUUACUGUUUCUUCCCCCUCUUCUCUCUGGUAGACCCGAGACCGAUGAUGCCGCUGUGAUUGACUAUGUCACCGACGACCCUUCCUUCUUGUCUGAGUAACCAGGCAAGCAAACCCUCCUUGAGCAUUCCAAUAUCGCCCAUUUCUUUCCCUCUCAUGCUUGCAUUAGAACUGCUACUGCUUUCUGUAUGAUCCUACUCUGAUGCAUAGCCUGUUUUGUUACCCGCUUUCAUACCUUACCUGCUUAUCCUAAACUGCUUAGUAAGGUUGGUUAGUGAUCCAUCAGUGACCCCCACCUUGUCCCAAUUGCCUCGCUUUAUGUUCGAUGACUCAAUCAUCAUGAUCGACGUCCAGGCCCCGACACCGCACAUCACCCCCCCUAGUUGUAUGACUCUGCAGAGUUACCAUCGAGUGCCGAGGGUGGAACCUCUUACACCACUCUUGAUGAGAUCUCUAUAGUAUAGCUAUCCGGUCGUGGUCAUCGAGGGUGAUUUCCUCCUUAACCACUUCCGAUACGACUCUGUCGUGCAACCCCUCAAAUGUGAACCUCGAGGGUGGUCCCUCUUACAUUCACCUUGAUGAUUACAUUGAGUGGAAUUCACCGGGGGUGAUUCCUCGGGUUUUCCCCUUGAUGUUUGGACACACGGUUACUAUGGUUACUAUGACUUUAUACUGAACCAUGUUACUAAAGACGGGUCGACCCUGAGGGGUACCCGCGCGAGCUUAAUAGCGAGUGAUGUGGAGUCGGGUUGACCUGGAAGGUGCCCGCGAGAUACUUACGAGGCGUGGCCGGGCAUUCUUAGCCCUUGCCGCAAGUACUCGAGACGGGGCGACAGGGUCACAUCGAUCGUGAGUCUCUGCUCGUUACCGCGCAUUCCUAAUCCACUACGAUUUGGAUAUUUGAUCCGAGGGGCCUCUGGCCUGAUAGCACUAACCAUCAUGUGGGCAUAGUAUGGGCGUUCUGCGUCGUAUACAUCAGCCGAAGCUUAAUAGUCGUCAGCGACUGAGCGGCGCGCACUGGGUUGGACUGGAAAACACAUACCUUGUUGAAGGAGGUAGCUAGGUCUGCUCACCGGCCGCGUACGCAACAUGCAGGAGUUCCUGGGGAGAUGGCCCAUGAUUGCAGAGCGGACCUCUAGGUCUUUCCAAUAGGACAGGUCCCAAAAUAUAGAUUUCUUCUUCCACAUGAGUGCGCGUCCGUCAGCGUCAUUCGGAACAGGUUGUCCACCAGGACCCUUUCCAAAGACCACCUUCAAAUCCUUGAUCAUAUCAUAUAUAUCAGCACCAGUACGGUGGCGAGGCUUUGUCCAGUGAUCCGCCUCACCUUUGAAAUGCUUGCCUUUCUUUCUUACGGGAUGCCUGCUCGGAAGAAAUCGACGAUGUCCCAGGUACACAUUCUUCUUACAAUUAGCCAAAUAUAUACUAUCGGUAUCGUCCAAACAGUGCGUGCAUGCGCGGUAUCCCUUGUUUGUCUGUCCUGAAAGGUUACUGAGAGCAGGCCAAUCAUUCAUGGUCACGAACAGCAACGCCUUUAGGUCAAAUUCUUCCCCAUGUGCUCAUCCCACACACGUACACAUGUUCCAUUCCACAGUUGUAAGAGUUCUUCAACUAAUGGCCUUAGGUACACAUCAAUGUCGUUGCCGGGUUGCUUAGGGACUUGGAUGAGCACUGGCACCAUAAUGAACUUCCGCUUUAUGCACAACCAAGGAGGAAGGUUAUACAAACAUAGAGUCACAUGCCAGGUGCUAUGGUUGCUGCUCUGCUCCCCAAAAGGAUUAAUGCCAUCUGCGCUUAGACCAAACCAUACGUUCCUUGCGUCAUCUGAAAACUCCUUCCCGUACUUUCUUUCGAUUUUCUCCACUGCGACCCGUCAGCGGGUACUCUCAACUUUCCGUCUUUCUUAAGGUCUUCUUUGUGCCAUCGCAUCGCCUUGGCAUGCUCUUUGUUUUGGAACAAACAUUUCAACCGUGGUAUUAUAGGAGCAUACCACAUCACCUUGGUAGGAAUCUUCUUCCUGGGACGCUCGCCCUCGACAUCACCAGGGUCAUCGCGGCUGAUCUUAUAGCGCAAUGCACCGCAUAUCGGGCAAGCGUUCAAAUCCUCAUACUUACUGCGGUAGAGGAUGCAAUCAUUAGGGCAUGCAUGUAUCUUCUGCACCUCUAACCCUAGAGGGCAGACAACCUUCUUUGCUUCGUACGUACUCUCGGGCAAUUCGUUGUCCUUUGGAAGCAUAUUCUUUAUCAUUACCAGCAACUUUCCAAAUCCCUUGUCAGAUACACCAUUCUCUGCCUUCCAUUGCAGCAAUUCCAGUGUGGUGCCCAGCUGUUUCUUGUCACCUACGCAAUUCGGGUACAACAAUUUUUUGUGAUCCUCUAACAUGUGCUGCAACUUCUUCUUCUCCAAAUCACUUGCGCAGUUUCUCUUUGCAUCGGCAAUGGCCCGACCAAAAUCAUCAACGGGCUCAUCCGAUGCCUCUUCUUCAGCUUCUUCCCGCAUUGCCGGCUCAGCUUCUUCCCGCAUUACCGGCUCAACUUCUUCCCUCAUUGUUGUAUCAUCGUAUUCAGGGAACCCAUGGCUAGGAUAGCUGUCGUCGUCCUCUUCUUCUUCAUUGUCUUCCAUCAUAACCCCUCUUUCUUCGUGCCUGGUCCAAACAUUAUAGUGGGGCAUGAAACCGGACUCAAACAGGUGGACGUGAAUGGUUCUUGACGUAGAGUAAUUGUGACCAUUCUUAUAACCAGCACAUGGACAAGGCAUAAAACCAUCCGCCCGCUUGUUUGCCUCAGCCGCAAGCAGAAAAGUAUGCAUGCCAUUAAUGAACUCGGGAGAGCAUCGGUCAUCGUACUUCCAUUGUCGGCUCAUCUUCAAUACACAGCAUCGAAAACAUCAAAUUAAUACAAUACAUAAAGUUCAUACAACACUUAAAUGCAACAAACAAAUAACUCUCUAGCUAAAGAAUUUAAAUGCAACAACAAAUGUGAUCAAGAUCGCAACUAAGGUAACAAUUGAUCCAACAGCAUAAUGAUACCAAGUCUCACUAUGAAUGGCAUAUUUUCUAAUCUUUCUAAUCUUCAAGCGCAUUUUCUCCAUCUUAAUCUUGCGAUCAUCGAUGACAUCGGCAACAUGCAACUCCAAUUCCAUCUUCUCCCCCUCAAUUCUUUUCAAUUUUUCUUUCAAAUCCUCGUUUUCUCUUUCAAGUAAAUUUAACCUCUCGACAAUAGGGUCGGUUGGAAUUUCCGGUUCAACUACCUCCUACAUACAAUAUCUAUGUCAGCUUGAUGGGCAUAAUUUUUCAUAAACACGAAAUGCAACAAAUGGUUUUAAAAGAGAAUAUACCACAUCUGAAUCAUAACAUGGAUGAGGGCCGAUAGGGACGGAUAUCAAAACCAUGGCACUAUGUAUAACAAACAACGUACGGGUAAGAUAAUUAUACGAGUAACUAUAUAUCCAAAUCACACAAACAUCAAUUUUUAUAUAAAAUUUCAUGAACAAGAGGCUCACCACAAGGUGGUGCCGGCGACGGGACGAUGCCGGCGAUCGACGGUGGUUACGACAGAGAUUUAGAAGGCACUAAGUAAACCACACCUACAUAUGCAAACUAAGUGUUAUUUUGACCUCAAUUUGCAUAUAAAUCAAAUACUACCACAUAUAAUUCCUCCAAAAUUACUAAAACCCACAAUUAAUCACUAUAUAAACCAAUGCAAGAGCUAAUCUAGCAAUGAGAGAUGAAAGGACAAAGUUGCUAACCUUUGUGAUCAUUUGAAUGGAUGAGGGCCUGCAAAUCUUGACAAAUUUGGGGCAAAUUUUGUGAUGAACUCGAGAGGAAGAAGGGAAGAACAAAGGAGAGGGAGAGGGGAAAGGGGGAAGAACAUAGUGCUGGUGGACAAAGGGUUUAUAUAGGACGACCUUUAGUACCGGUUCGUGGCACGAACCGGUACUAAAGGUGCUGGAGGGGCUCCACUCUGACAACAUCCUGCCACCACUCUCAUUAGUACCGGUUCGUGGCACGAACCGGUGCUAAAGGUUCACCACGAACCGGUACUAAAGAUCUCCUCCCGCCUAGCCGUUGGAACCGGCCUAAUGGACAAAUUAGUCCCGGUUCUGUUACAAACCGGGACUAAUGUGUCUCACAUUUGACCCUUUUCUACUAGUGUGCUCCCAACUAGUAGGUGAAGAGGAAUGGAUGAGGUUAUAUUCGGGGAAGGGUGCAACAAUGAAGAUGGAGAAGAGGAAUGGGUUUAUAAGUUGUAAACAACAAAGUAGUGGGAUGUGAUCGGACAAAAAUUUGAAAGUCGGAAGGGCAAGCGAAGUCACUACCACAUGAUUGUGGAGAAAACUACUACCAGGAAAAUGUAAAGUGCAAGAUGAAUAGCUAAAGGUAGCAUUAAGACUGCAUGAAGCAAUAACUGAUUGGCAAUGAAUUGCUGGUGAUGUAGCUUCAUUGUAGGAUAUUGAAAUUUGAAAGGCAAUGAAAUUGCAUGAAGUAGUAACAGAAAGGCAGUGAGCUGCUGGCUUAGGAAGAAAACAUGAUAAUGUGGCUUUCCGCAGCACAGGAAAGUCUGGCAAUAUUUGAGUUGUUGAUGUGGUAGGCUACUGAGGUGGAUAGACUACAUGUUAAGAUAAAUAGGAUAAGUGGGGUUCACUUUCUUAGAGCAUCUCCAACAGCCGCCGAAUGCACCGCGCGCUAAAAACUGCUGCGCGCCCAUCGCCUGGUUUGGCGCGACAGGCAACACUGGCACCAGUAGCGGUGCUAAAAUGCAGCGCGCACGACUCUUGCACAAACAACAUAUGCAUUCCAAACACAAGCAAAAACAUCAAACACAAACAAGAUAAAUCAACAAUAAAUAGUUCAAUUUCGUUAUUACAACUCAAACAAACAAUUUAUCGUUCAAUACAGCAAAUAAUGCAAUAAUACAAUAAAUAGUUCAAUAAUACAACAUCGAACGCACAAAUCAUGAUGCUCUUUGUCAUGUUGGAAAUAUGCCCUAGAGGCAAUAAUAAAAUGGUUAUUAUUAUAUUUCUUUGUUCAUGAUAAUUGUCUAUUGUUCAUGCUAUAAUUGUGCUAUCCGGAAAUCAUAAUACAUGUGUGAAUACAUAGACCACAACACGUCCCUAGUGAGCCUCUAGUUGACUAGCUCGUUGAUCAAAAGAUAGUCAUGGUUUCCUGACUAUGGACAUUGGAUGUCAUUGAUAACGGGAUCACAUCAUUAGGAGAAUGAUGUAAUGGACAAGACCCAAUCCUAAGCUUAGCUCAAAGAUCGUGUAGUUCGUUUACUGUAGCUUUUCUGAAUGUCAAGUAUCAUUUCCUUAGACCAUGAGAUUGUGCAACUCCCGGAUACCGUAGGAGUGCCUUGGGUGUGCCAAACGUCACAACGUAACUGGGUGACUAUAAAGGUACAUUACAGGUAUCUCCGAAAGUGCCUGUUGGGUUGGCACGAAUCGAGACUGGGAUUUGUCACUCCGUAUGACGGAGAGGUAUCUCUGGGCCCACUCGGUAAUGCAUCAUCAUAAUGAGUUCAAUGUGAUCAAGUGGUUGAUCAUGGGAUCAUGCAUUACGGUACAAGUAAAGUGACUUGCCAGUAACGAGACUGAACAAGGUAUUGGGAUACCGACGAUCGAGUCUCGGGCAAGUAACGUACCGAUUGACAAAGGGAAUUGUAUACGGAUUGAUUGAAUCCUCGACAUCGUGGUUCAUCCGAUGAGAUCAUCGUGGAGCAUGUGGGAGCCAGCAUGGGUAUCCAGAUCUCGCUAUUGGUUAUUGACCAGAGAGUCGUCCCGGUCAUGUCUGCAUGUCUUCCGAACCCGUAGGGUCUACACACUUAAGGUUCGGUGACGCUAGGGUUGUUAGGAAGACUUGUAUGUGAUUACAGAAUGUUGUUUGGAGUCCCGUAUGAGAUCCCGGACGUCACGAGGAGUUCCGGAAUGGACCGGAGGUAAAGAUUUAUAUAUGGGAAGUUGUCACACGGUUGCCGGAAAGAUUCGGGGGCAUAUCGGUAUUGUACCGGGGCCACCGGAGGGGUUCCGGGGGUCCACCGGGAGGGCCACCUCUUCCGGAGGGCCUUAUGGGCUGUAUGGAGAAGGGAACCAGCCCAAGUGGGCUGGGGUGCCACACCCCCCUAGGGCCCAUGCGCCUAGGGUUGGGGGAAACCCUAAGGGGGGGCGCCCCUUGCUUGGGGGGCAAGCCCCCCUCCCCUUGGCCGCCCCCCCUCUAGAUCUCAUCUAGAGGGGCCGACCCCCUUCCCCCUUCCCGUAUAAAUAGAGGGGUGAGGGGAGGGCUGCACACAACAUACAAGGCGCAGCCCCUCCCCUCCCCAACACCUCUCCUCCUCCAUAAGAGCUUGGCGAAGCCCUGCCGGAGUACUGCAGCUUCAUCACCACCACGCCGUCGUGCUGCUGUUGGAGCCCUCUUCCUCAACCUCUCCCUCCUCCUUGCUGGAUCAAGGCGCGGGAGACGUCCUCGCUCCGUACGUGUGUUGAACGCGGAGGUGUCGUCCGUUCGGCGCUAGGAUCUUCGGUGAUUUGGAUCACGUCGAGUACGACUCCAUCAACCCCGUUCUCUCGAACGCUUCUGCUCGUGAUCUACAAGGGUAUGUAGAUGCACUCCUAUCUCCCUCGUUGCUAGAUGACUCCAUAGAUUGAUCUUGGUGAUGCGUAGAAAAUUUUAAAAUUCUGCUACGUUGCCCCCAACAGUGGCAUCAUGAGCUAGGUCUAUGCGUAGUUACUAUGCACGAGUAGAACACAAAGUAGUUGUGGGCGUCGAUAUUGUCAAUUUGCUUGCCGUUACUAGUCUUAUCUUGAUUCGGCUGCAUCGUGGGAUGAAGCGGCCCGGACCAACCUUACACGUACACUUACGUGAGACUGGUUCCACCAACUGACAUGCACUAGUUGCAUAAGGUGGCUGGCGGGUGUCUGUCUCUCCCACUUUAGUCGGAUCGGAUUCGAUGAGCAGGGUCCUUAUGAAGGAUAAAUAGAAAUUGGCAAUUCACGUUGUGGUUUUGGCGCAGGUAAGAAACGUUCUUGCUAGAAACCUAUAGCAGCCACGUAAAAACUUGCAACAACAAUUAGAGGACAUCUAGCUUGUUUUUGCAGCAAGUGUUUUGUGAUGUGAUAUGGCCAAAGGAUGUGAUGAAUGAUAUAUGUGAUGUAUGAGAUGAUCAUGUUCUUGCAAUAGGAAUCACGACUUGCAUGUCGAUGAGUAUGACAACCGGCAGGAGCCAUAGGAGUUGUCUUUAUUUAUUUAUGACCUGCGUGUCAACAUAAACGUCAUGUAAUUACUUUACUUUAUUGCUAAAGCGUUAGCCAUACUAGUAGAAGUAAUAGAUGACGAGACAACUUCAAGAAGACACGAUGAUGGAGAUCAUGGUGUCAUGCCGGUGAUAACGAUGAUCAUGGAGCCCCGAAGAUGGAGAUCAAAGGAGCAAAUGAUAUUGGCCAUAUCAUGUCACUAUUUGAUUGCAUGUGAUGUUUAUCAUGUUUUACAUCUUAUUUGCUUAGAACGACGGUAGCUUAAAUAAGAUGAUCCCUCGUAAAAAAUUUCAAGAAAGUGUUCCCCCUAACUAUGCACCGUUGCGAAGGUUCGUUGUUUCGAAGCACCACGUGAUGAUCGGGUGUGAUAGAUUCUAACGCUCGAAUACAAUGGGUGUAAGCCAGAUUUACACACGCAAUACACUUAGGUUGACUUGCCGAGCCUAGCAUGUACAGACAUGGCCUCGAAACACAGAAGACUGAAAGGUCGAGCAUGAGUCGUAUAGAAGAUACGAUCAACAUGAAGAUGUUCACCGAUGUUGACUAGUCCGUCUCACGUGAUGAUCGGACACGGCCUAGUUAACUCGGAUCAUGUUAUACUUAGAUGACUGGAGGGAUGUCUAUCUGAGUGGGAGUUCAUUGAAUAAUUUGAUUAGAUGAACUUAAUUAUCAUGAACUUAGUCUAAAAUCUUUACAAUAUGUCUUGUAGAUCAAAUGGCCCAUGUUGUCCUCAACUUCAACGCGUUCCUAGAGAAAACCAAGCUGAAAGACGAUGGCAGCAACUAUACGGACUGGGUCCGGAACCUGAGGAUCAUCCUCAUAGCUGCCAAGAAAGAUUAUGUCCUAGAAGCACCGCUAGGUGACGCACCCAUCCCACAGAACCAAGACGUUAUGAACGCUUGGCAGACACGUGCUGAUGAUUACUCCCUUGUUCAGUGCGGCAUGCUUUACAGCUUAGAACCGGGGCUCCAAAAGCGUUUUGAGAGACACGGAGCAUAUGAGAUGUUCGAAGAGCUGAAAAUGGUUUUUCAAGCUCAUGCCCGGGUCGAGAGAUAUGAAGUCUCCGACAAGUUCUUCAGCUGUAAGAUGGAGGAAAAUAGUUCUGUUAGUGAGCACAUACUGAAAAUGUCUGGGUUGCAUAACCGCUUGACUCAGCUGGGAGUUAAUCUCCCGGAUGACGCGGUCAUUGACAGAAUCCUUCAGUCGCUUCCACCGACCUACAAGAGCUUUGUGAUGAACUUCAAUAUGCAGGGGAUGGAAAAGACCAUUCCUGAGGUAUAUUCAAUGCUGAAAUCAGCAGAGGUAGAAGUCAAAAAGGAACAUCAAGUGUUGAUGGUGAAUAAAACCACUAAGUUCAAGAAAGGCAAGGGUAAGAAGAACUUCAAGAAGGACGGCAAGGGAGUUGCCGCGCCCGGUAAGCAAGCUGCCGGGAAGAAGCCAAAGAAUGGACCCAAGCCCGAGACUGAGUGUUUUUAUUGCAAGGGAAGUGGUCACUGGAAGCGGAACUGCCCCAAAUACUGAGCGGACAAGAAGGCCGGCAUCACGAAAGGUAUAUGUGAUAUACAUGUAAUUGAUGUGUACCUUACCAGUACUCGUAGUAGCUCCUGGGUAUUUGAUACCGGUGCGGUUGCUCACAUUUGUAACUCAAAGCAGGAGCUGCGGAAUAAACGGAGACUGGCGAAGGACGAGAUGACAAUGCGCGUCGGGAAUGGUUCCAAGGUCGACGUGAGCGCCGUCGGCACGCUACCUCUACAUUUACCUACGGGAUUAGUUUUAAACCUCAAUAAUUGUUAUUUAGUGCCAGCUUUGAGCAUGAACAUUGUAUCAGGAUCUCGUUUAAUACGAGAUGGCUACUCAUUUAAAUCCGAGAAUAAUGGUUGUUCUAUUUAUAUGAGAGAUAUGUUUUAUGGUCAUGCUCCGAUGGUGAAUGGUUUAUUCUUAAUGAAUCACCAGUGUAAUGCUACACAUAUUCACAGUGUGAAUACCAAAAGAUGUAAGGUUGAUAAUGAUAGUCCCACAUACUUGUGGCACUGCCGCCUUGGUCACAUAGGUGUCAAACGCAGGAAGAAGCUCCAUGCAGAUGGACUUUUAGAGUCUCUUGAUUACAAAUCAUUUGACACGUGCGAACCAUGCCUCAUGGGUAAAAUGACCAAGACUCCGUUCUCAGGAACAAUGGAGCGAGCAACCAACUUAUUGGAAAUCAUACAUACUGAUGUGUGCGGUCCAAUGAGUGUUGAGGCUCGCGGUGGCUAUCGUUACGUUCUCACCCUCACUGAUGACUUGAGUAGAUAUGGGUAUGUCUAAUUAAUGAAACACAAGUCUGAGACCUUUGAAAAGUUCAAGGAAUUUCAGAGUGAGGUUGAGAAUCGACGUGACAGGAAAAUCAAGUUCUUGCGAUCAGAUCGUGGGGGAGAAUACUUGAGUCAUGAAUUUGGCACACACUUAAGAAAAUGUGGAAUAGUUUCACAACUCACGCCGCCUGGAACACCUCAGCGUAAUGGUGUGUCCGAACGUCGUAAUCGCACUCUAUUAGAUAUGGUGCGAUCUAUGAUGUCUCUUACCGAUUUACCGCUAUCAUUUUGGGGCUAUGCUUUAGAGACUGCCGCAUUCACUUUAAAUAGGGCUUCGUCGAAAUCCGUUGAGACGACACCGUAUGAAUUAUGGUUUGGGAAGAAACCUAAGCUCUCAUUUGUAAAAGUUUGGGGAUGCGAUGCUUAAGUCAAGAAACAUCAACCUGAAAAGCUCGAACCCAAAUCGGAAAAAUGCGUCUUCAUAGGAUACCCUAAAGAAACUGUUUGGUAUACCUUCUACCUCAGAUCCGAAGGCAAGAUCUUCGUUGCCAAGAAUGGGUCCUUUCUAGAGAAAGAGUUUCUCUCGAAAGAAAUAAGUGGGAGGAAGGUAGAACUUGAUGAAGUAUUACCUCUUGAACCGGUAAGUGGCGCAGCUCAAGAAAAUGUUCCUGAGGUGCCUGCACUGACUAGAGAGGAAGUUGAUGAUGAUGAUCAUGAAACUUUAGAUCAAGUUGCUACUGAACUUCAUAGGUCCACAAGGACACGUUCCGCACCAGAGUGGUAUGGCAACCCUAUCUUGGAAAUCAUGUUGUUAGACAACGGUGAACCUUCGAACUAUGAAGAAGCGAUGGCGGGCACGGAUUCCGACAAAUGGCUGGAAGCCAUGAAAUCCGAGAUAGGAUCCAUGUAUGAAAACGAAGUAUGGACUUUGACUGACUUGCCCGUUGAUCCGCAAGCCAUAGAAAAUAAAUGGAUCUUUAAGAAGAAGACAGACGCGGAUGGUAAUGUGACCAUCUAUAAAGCUCGGCUUGUCGCUAAGGGUUAUCGACAAGUUCAAGGGGUUGACUACGAUGAGACUUUCUCACCCGUAGUGAAGCUGAAGUCCGUCCGAAUCAUGUUAGCAAUUGCCGCAUUCUAUGAUUAUGAGAUAUGGCAAAUGGACGUCAAAACUGCAUUCCUUAAUGGUUUCCUUAAGGAAGAAUUGUAUAUGAUGCAGCCGGAAGGUUUUAUCGAUCCUAAGAAUGCUGACAAGGUGUGCAAGCUCCAACACUCGAUUUAUGGGCUGGUGCAAGCAUCUCGGAGUUGGAACAUUCGUUUUGAUGAGAUGAUCAAAGCGUUUGGGUUUAUGCAGACUUAUGGAGAAGCCUGCAUUUUCAAGAAAGUGAGUGGGAGCUCUGUAGCAUUUCUCAUAUUGUAUGUGGAUGACAUACUGUUGAUGGGAAAUGAUACAGAAUUCUUGGAAAGCAUAAAGGCCUACUUGAACAAGUGUUUUUCAAUGAAGGACCUUGGAGAAGCUGCUUAUAUAUUAGGCAUCAAGAUCUAUAGAGAUAGAUCGAGACGCCUCAUUGGUCUUUCACAGAGUACAUACCUUGACAAAAUAUUGAAGAAAUUCAAAAUGGAUCAGUCAAAGAAGGGGUUCUUGCCUGUAUUGCAAGGUACGAGAUUGAGCAUGGCUCAAUGCCCGACCACGACAGAAGAUAGAGAAAAGAUGAGUGUCGUCCCCUAUGCCUCGGCCAUAGGGUCUAUCAUGUAUGCUAUGCUGUGUACCAGACCUGAUGUAAACCUUGCCGUGAGUUUGGUAGGAAGGUACCAAAGUAAUCCUGGCAUGGAACACUGGACAGCGGUCAAGAAUAUCCUGAAGUACCUGAAAAGGACCAAGGAAAUGUUUCUCAUUUAUGGAGGUGACGAAGAGCUCGUCGUAAAGGGUUACGUUGAUGCUAGCUUCGACACAGAUCUGGAUGUCUCUAAGUCACAAACCGGAUACAUGUAUAUUUUGAAUGGUGGGGCAGUAAGCUGGUGCAGUUGCAAGCAAAGCGUUGUGGCGGGAUCUACAUGUGAAGCGGAGUACAUGGCAGCCUCGGAGGCAGCACAAGUAGCAGUCUGGGUGAAGGAGUUCAUUACCGACCUAGGAGUCAUACCCAAUGCGUCGGGCCCGAUGGCUCUCUUCUAUGACAACACUGGAGCUAUUGCCCUUGCCAAGGAGCCCAGGUUUCACAGGAAGACCAGGCAUAUCAAGCGUCGCUUCAACUCCAUUCGUGAAAGUGUUCAAAAUGGAUACAUAGAGAUUUGUAAAGUACAUACGGACCUGAAUGUAGUAGAUCCGUUGACUAAACCUCUCCCUAGAGCAAAACAUGAUCAACACCAGAACUGCAUGGGUGUUCGAUUCAUCACAAUGUAACUAGAAUAUUGACUCUAGUGCAAGUGGGAGACUGUUGGAAAUAUGCCCUAGAGGCAAUAAUAAAAUGGUUAUUAUUAUAUUUCUUUGUUCAUGAUAAUUUUCUAUUGUUCAUGCUAUAAUUGUGUUAUCCGGAAAUCGUAAUACAUGUGUGAAUACAUAGACCACAACACGUCCCUAGUGAGCCUCUAGUUGACUAGCUCGUUGAUCAAAAGAUAGUCAUGGUUUCCUGACUAUGGACAUUGGAUGCCAUUGAUAAUGGGAUCACAUCAUUAGGAGAAUGAUGUGAUGGACAAGACCCAAUCCUAAGCUUAGCUCAAAGAUCGUGUAGUUCGUUUGCUGUAGCUUUUCUGAAUGUCAAGUAUCAUUUCCUUAGACCAUGAGAUUGUGCAACUCCCGGAUACCGUAGGAGUGCCUUGGGUGUGCCAAAUGUCACAACGUAACUGGGUGACUAUAAAGGUACAUUACAGGUAUCUCCGAAAAUGUCUGUUGGGUUGGCACGAAUCGAGGCUGGGAUUUGUCACUCCGUAUGACGGAGAGGUAUCUCUGGGCCCACUCGGUAAUGCAUCAUCAUAAUGAGUUCAAUGUGAUCAAGUGGUUGAUCACGGGAUCAUGCAUUACGGUACGAGUAAAGUGACUUGCCGGUAACGAGACUGAACAAGGUAUUGGGAUACCGACGAUCGAGUCUCGGGCAAGUAACGCACUGAUUGAAAAAGGGAAUUGUAUAUGGAUUGAUUGAAUCCUCGACAUCGUGGUUCAUCCGAUGAGAUCAUUGUGGAGCAUGUGGGAGCCAACAUGGGUAUCCAGAUCCCGCUAUUGGUUAUUGACCGGAGAGUCGUCUCGGUCAUGUCUACAUGUCUUCCGAACCCGUAGGGUCUACACACUUAAGGUUCGGUGACGCUAGGGUUGUUAGGAAGACUUGUAUGUUAUUACCGAAUGUUGUUCGGAGUCCCGGAUGAGAUCCCGGACGUCACGAGGAGUUCCGGAAUGGUCUGGAGGUAAACAUUUAUAUAUGGGAAGUUGUCAUACGGUCGCGGAAAGAUUCGGGGGCAUAUCGGUAUUGUACCGGGGCCACCGGAGGGGUUCCGGGGGUCCACCCGGAGGGGCCACCUCUUCUGAAGGGCCUUAUGGGCUGUAUGGAGAAGGGAACCAGCCCAAGUGGACUGGGGCGCCACACCCCCUAGGGCCCAUGCGCCUAGGGUUGGGGGAAACCCUAAGGGGGCGCCCCUUGCUUGGGAGGCAAGCCCCCCUCCCCUUGGCCGCCCCCCCCCUCUAGAUCUCAUCUAGAGGGGGCCGGCCCCCUUCCCCCUUCCCCUAUAAAUAGAGGGGUGAGGGGAGGGCUGCACACAACAUCCAAGGCGCAGCCCCUCCCCUCCCCAACACCUCUCCUCCUCCAUAAGAGCUUGGUGAAGCCCUGCCGGAGUACUGCAGCUUCAUCACCACCACGCCGUCGUGCUGCUGUUGGAGCCCUCUUCCUCAACCUCUCCCUCCUCCUUGCUGGAUCAAGGCACGGGAGAUGUCCUCGCUCCGUACGUGUGUUGAGGGACUAAUGUGUAAGUGCAUCUAGUGCCACCCCUAGUUGGUUUUGGAGUAUUGACGACAAACCUAGUUGAGGGACUAAUGUGUUUGUGAGAAUUGCAGGAUAACACAGGUAGAAGUCCUUCAUUGAUUCGGUUUUCCUACCAGAGAUGACCCCUAAAAAUGUAUGAAGACAUUGAAGUCAAAGGUGGUAUAUGAAGAUAUUCACAUUGAAGACUAUGACAUGAGAAGACAUCACAUGAAGCCUAUGGAGCUCGAAGACUUAGAUCUUUCGUAGUUCUUUUUCUUCUUUGUUGAGUCAUAGGAACCACUGUACUGUUAAGUGGGGUCCAAGAGAACCAAUCAGAAUGACUGAAGUGAUGCUUAAACAAAACCUAUGUUUUCGAGUGAAGACUAUGAGAGCGAAUCUUGUCCAGAGUUGGACAAGUCAGCUUUGCUUGUAUCCCAAGUAAAGUUGCCGUGUGAGUUUGAAAUCUGACCGUUGGAACACGUGUCAGUUCCGUAGUGACCCAGGGUCAUUUCGGACAAAUCAGGUCGGGUUGCCAAGUGGCUAUAAAUAGCCCACCCCCUACAACCAUAAACGGUUGGCUGCUCAGAUUCAGAGUACGGCUUUUGUCGUUUGAGAGCAACCCACCUCGAAGCCUUUGAGAGAGAAUUCCCUAGGAUAAAGCCCUAACCACCCAGAGCCAAAGAGAAUUAGGCAUCACUUAAGUCUUCUUGUCUGUGUGAUCUGAAGACUUAUUACACUUGAGGACUGUGCAUCCUCCAGCCGGUUAGGCGUCGCAUUCUAAGCAUCCAAGAGACAUUGUGGAUUGCCGGUGAACGAAGUCUGUGAAAGUUUGGGAGUCUACCUUGAAGACUUACCAAAGUGAUUGGGCGAGGUUUGUGUGACCUUAGCUCAAGGGGAAUACGGUGAGGACUGGGUGUCCUGAGCUGCGUGUUCAGGACUAGGUGUCCGGGACUGUGUGUCCUAAGGUUUAAAUACCUAGCCGCCCUAACCAGACGUACAAUUGUCACAGCAACUGGAACUGGUCCAACAAAUCAUUGUCUUCAGCGAGUCACUGGUUUCAUCUUCCCUUCCCUUUACAUACUGCUACUCCUUGUGAAGUCAUUGUAUGUUCGCACUAUCUUUUGUCUUCACUGAGUGACUGCGUGUUCUGUGUGGCUUCACAAUAUCUUCCUACCUGAUCCUUACUACAUUGCUGCUAUUAGUCAUUGUGCUUUCACUCUAUUGAAUACUUGACUAUGGCUUGCCUAGUGUAGUAUACCUUCCGCUGCAGAGUAGUCGGUUUAUUUCUAUCGUUUGUCUUCAUAACUUCCACGUUUUGAAGACUUUCAUAAAAAUUGCCUAUUCAUCCCCCUCUAGUCGAUAUAACGCACUUUCAAUUGGUAUCAGAGCAAGGUGCUCCCUUGUUCUGUGUGAUUUGGUUUAACCACCUGGAGUUUUAGCUAUGUCGACUGCAGGGAUAAUUAAAGUCUCCGCUACGUGCCCCGUCUCGAUGGAACUGAAUAUUCCUACUGGAAGAAUAAGAUGCGCAUGCAUCUUAAAGCCAUUGACGUCGACCUAUGGUAUGUCGUCAAGAACGGCGUUCCCAAGGCUAGAGAAGGUGUCAUUGCUGCUGAUGUCAAGAAGUUUGUUCAACUGGACUCUACUGCCAAGAAUAUCAUCUGUGGUCAAAGGACAGUAUGGCCGUGUGAGUGCUUUGGAAACAUCUAAGCUGGUCUGGGACUGGCUCUCCAAGGUCAAUGAAGGCGUCUCAACCCAGAGAGAUCAGAGAAUCAGUGUCCUUCGCAACCUCUUCAACCGCUUCAAGUGAAAUGACAAUGAGAAUGUCCAGCUCACAUUUGACCGACUCACUGACAUCACAAAUGAGCUUCAAGCCCUCGGCGCUACUGAGAUCACCAAACAUGAAGUCGUCAAGACACUACUGAGAUCACUUGAUAGUUCGUUUGACACCCUAGCCCUGAUGAUUCAAGAACGUCCUGAUUUCAAGACACUCGAGCCGUCUAACAUACUUGAGAGGCUCAACACACAUGAGUUUCAGCUUUCUGAGAAAAGAGAUAUCUACGGUCCAAACUAUGGGCGAACUCGUGCCUUGAAGGCAAAAGCUGUCCCCUCAUCUGAAGAAGAAUCUGACAGCAGUUCGGAUGAUCCUGAAGACAUUGGAAGGGAACUUGCUAUGCUUGUGAAGAAGUUCCAAAAAUUCACCAAGAAGAAAGGUUUCAGAAAGUCUUCCCGAUCAAGCUCAAGGAAUGAUGAAGCUUCUGCUCACGACUACAAGAAGAAAACAUGUCACAAGUGCAAGAAACCUGGCCACUUCAUCUCUGAGUGUCCACAGUGGGACAAUGAGAACAAAAAGAAGAAGAAGAGCAAGGAAUAUGACUCUGACGACAAGAAGAAGAAGAAAUACUCAAAGUCUUCUUCCAAGUCUUCUUCAAAGUCUUCAUCACACAAGAAGAGCUCAUUUGGCAAGGCACGUGCCUUUGUUGGCAAGGAAAUGGAUUCAGAGGAGGAGUCCGCUUCUGAGGAGGCGGAGGUGGAGUCUGAGGAGGAGUCCGAUUCAGGCGUCGCAAGUCUGGCUACAACAUACAUUUCCAAGUCCAUCUUCAACACUGAAGACAAUGACUUCAUCACCGACACCGAUGCAAAUGACAAGGACUACUCCGCUUCUACCUACUGCUUCAUGGCACGCGGUGCCAAGGUAAACACACGCAGUACUCACUAUCAAACAUCUAGUGACGAUGACUCUAAUUGUGGUUCAAAACCCAGCUACAAAACACUUGCUAAAAUUGCAACUGAACAACAGAAAGCUAUGGAACAUAUUCAAAAACUGUUAGACAGAAGCGAUGAUCUGUUAGGUGCUGAAAUGACUCGAUCUGAAUCCUUAAUUGAAGACAUAAAAAAUCUUCAUGUUAAGUAUCAGGAACUUGAAAGUCAUCAUGAAACUCUCUCAACAACUCAUGAAAAGCUUUCCUAUGAUUAUCUUCAAAGGAAGAAAGAUCUUGAGAAAUUGAGAGCGGCUCAUGAAGAUCUUCAAAAGGAAAACGAGUCACUUCACGCCAAACAGAUCAGUUCUGCUCAGGAAGGAUUUGAACCACCAUGUCUUAAAUGCAUUGAGCGUAAUAAUGCUACUUCUGUUGCUGAAUGUUCUACUGCUACUUCUGUUGCAAUAUCUUCAACUGUUGAUGUGGUAACUAACCCCUCUGCUGAGGAUACCACUGCUAUUGCUGAUGAGAAUGCUAGGUUGAAGACAUUGCUUGAAACAGGGAUGUACAAAAGUCUUAAAGGGCAUCAGACACUAUGUGAUGUCCUCAAAAAGCAGAUUCUGAACCGAAACCCGAGGAAAGAGGGUGUUGGGUUCGUAAGGAAAAUGAAUGUUGAUGGCUCUUACUGGAAACCUGAGCAGUACCCCAAAACCACGUGGGUUGCUGCAAAGGAACCUUCAACAGAUCCAUCCAAUCUAUCUGGCUUCACUUGUGCUAACCCCAUUAUCAUUGAUGAAUCCCUUGAUGCAAACUAUAAACUGUUUCAAAAUCAGAAUGGUGAAGUGUUUGCCAGGUACAUUGGUACUAACUGCAGGAAUGGACCGCCUAUGAAGAAGAUCUGGGUUCCGAAAAGGUGUCUGGAGAAUCUUCCUGUGAAUGUCAUCAUGACACCUCACGUGAAGAAGACAAACCUCAUACCAAAGGCUUCAUACGGUCCAAAGGCUUCAUACAGACAGAGGACUCACCUGAGUCGCACUAACGCAAAUGUUUUGCAGGGAAACCAUACUCAGGCAUAUGAAUAUGAGAGCGGUUCAUCAAACCGCCAUGUUCAUAAGACAAAGAACUAUUCUACUUAUUCUUAUGAGUACUAUUGUCCGCCUGCAAGACUGUUUGCUAGGGCUCCAAAGCCAAAGUUCUCAAAUGCUGCACUUAGACUUAUUGCUUCUAAGCCACCCUUGAAGAUGUGGGUGGCUAAGAAAGCUUAACUCUCUUUUGCAGGGAAAGGUCUCUAGCAGAAAACCAAAAUCGUCUGACGCUAUUGCUGGGGACCUUAAACAUCUUGUAGGGCGCAAGAUCAAAUGCCCGAAUGGUCUUACUAUGUACUUCGUUCCUGAAUCGCUUGCUACUCUCCAUAUUAGUCCUAAUCUGGAUCUAAGCUUUCAUAACCCACUGGUUCGUCAAAUGUUUUUGCUUCACAAUGCUCUUCCUGAAGCCUAUCCCCCUAACUGCACUGUAGGGUACGACACCAGCGUCUUCAGAAUGGAUUAUUGACAGUGGGUGUACAAAUCACAUGACUGGCAACAGAAGCCUUCUUAUGGACUCAACCUUACGUCCAUCCGACAAGAGUCACAUCACAUUUGCUGACAUUGGCAAAAGUAAGGUAUUGGGUCUAGGUAGAGUUGCAAUCUCAAGGGAUCAACACAUGGAUAAAGUCAUGCUUGUUGAAUCCCUUGGCUUCAGCUUAAUGUCUGUCUCAAUGCUUUGCGAUUUAAACAUGAUCGUAAUAUUUGGAAAAUAUUGUUGCCUUGUUCUAAUGGAAUCUGACAAGUCUCUAGUGUUUGAAGGGUAUCGAAAAGAUGAUUUGUACGUGGUAGAUUUCUCAGCAGGACCACAGCUUGCCAUAUGUCUUCUAGCAAAAGCUUCAGAAUGCUGGCUCUGGCAUCGGAGGCUUGGGCAUGCUGGCAUGAGGAACCUCCACCCUGGCAAAGAAGAAGCAUGUCAUAGGCAUCAAGGGCGUCAAGUUCAAGAAAGAUCACUUAUGCGGUGCCUGUGAGGCAGGAAAGAUGACGAGGGCCAAACAUCCCUCGAAGACAAUCAUGACCACUACUCGACCCUUUGAACUGCUUCACAUGGAUCUUUUCGGUCCCACUCAUUACUCAACUCUUACUACUACUGCUUGUCUCUAUGGCUUUGUCAUUGUUGAUGAUUAUUCUAGAUAUACUUGGGUGCACAUAAUCCUUUACAAGACUGAAGUGCAGGAUGUCUUCAGACGCUUCGCCAAUCGAGCAAUGAACAAUUUUGGCGCCAAGAUAAAGCAUAUCAGAAGUGACAAUGGCACUAAAUUCAAGAACACUAGCCUUGAUACAUAUCUUGAUACCUUGGGCAUCACACAUGAAUUCUCAGCCCCGUACACGCCACAGCAGAAUGGGGUCGUCGAACGCAAGAACAGAACACUCAUUGAGAUGGCCAAAACGAUGCUAGAUGAAUACAAGACUCCAAGAAAAUUCUGGCCUGAAGCCAUUGAUACUGCAUGCCAUACAAUCAAUCGUGUUUAUCUUCACAAGCUUCUGAACAAGACAUCUUAUGAGCUCCUUACUGGCAAGAAGCCAAAUGUCAGUUACUUCAGAGUAUUUAGCGCCAGGUGCUGGAUCAAGGACCCACAUCACACCUCAAAGUUUGCACCAAAAGCACAUGAGGGUUUUAUGCUUGGAUAUGGAAAGGAUUCGCACUCCUACAGAGUCUUCAAUCUCUUUCAUUACAAAGUGGUUGAAACAGUGAAUGUGCAGUUCGAUGAGACCAACGGUUCACAAAGAGAGCAACUGCCAAAUGUGCUAGAUGAAGUUCCAUCCAGUGAAUCAAUCAAGCUAAUGGGAACUGGAGAAAUUAUACCUUCUGAAGCUCAUCCUGAAGAAGAACUUAUCAUAUCAGCACCUGAUCAACAUGAAGACAAUGCUUAGCCUGAAGACAUUCCUUCUAACAACGACAAUGUUCAGCAAGAGCAAAAUCUUCGCCCUAUACAUCCUCGCGUUGCCAAUGAAGUGCAGAUUGAAAGAAUAAUUGAUAGCAUCAAUGCACCCGGUCCACUCACUCGUUCAAGGGCGACUCAGCUGGCAAAUCUCUGUGGGCACUUCGCAUUCGUCUCAAUAACAGAGCCUAAGAAAGUUGAAGAAGCCUUCAUGGAACCUGAAUGGAUUCAAGCUAUGCAAGAUGAGCUUCAACAGUUUGAGCUGAAUAAUGUAUGGGAACUGGUCAAGCGUCCCGAUCCUCGGAAGCACAACAUAAUAGGCACCAAAUGGAUAUACCGCAACAAGCAAUAUGAGCAUGGUCAAAUUGUCAGAAACAAAGCUCGUCUCAUUGCUCAAGGAUAUACUCAAGUGGAAGGCAUUGACUUCGAUGAAACAUUUGCUCCUGUGGCUAGACUUGAAGCCAUACGCAUACUGCUGGCCUAUGCAAAUCAUCACAACAUACUUCUUUAUCAAAUGGAUGUGAAGAGCGCCUUCCUCAAUGGCAAGAUUGAAGAAGAAGUGUAUGUUGCACAACCUCCUGGCUUUGAAGAUCCAAAACAUCCUGACAUGGUAUACAAGCUCAACAAGGCACUGUAUGGCCUCAAACUAUUGGAAAUAUGCCCUAGAGGCAGUAAUAAAAGCAUUAUUAUUAUAUUUCCUUGUUCAUGAUAAUUGUCUUUAUUCAUGCUAUAAUUGUGUUAUCCAGAAAUCGUAAUACAUGUGUGAAUAAUAGACACCAACAUGUCCCUAGUAAGCCUCUAGUUGACUAGCUCGUUGAUCAACAGAUAGUCAUGGUUUCCUGACUAUGGACAUUGGAUGUCAUUGAUAACGAGAUCACAUCAUUAGGAGAAUGAUGUGAUGGACAAGACCCAAUCCUAAACAUAGCAUAAGAUCGUAUAGUUCGUUGGCUAGAGUUUUCCAAUGUCAAGUAUCUUUUCCUUAGACCAUGAGAUCGUGUAACUCCCGGAUACCGUAGGAGUGCUUUGGGUGUACCAAACGUCACUACGUAACUGGGUGACUAUAAAGGUAUACUACGAGUAUCUUCGAAAGUGUCUGUUGGGUUGACACGGAUCAAGACUGGGAUUUGUCACUCCGUAUGACGGAGAGGUAUCACUGGGCCCACUCGGUAAUGCAUCAUCAUAAUGAGCUCAAAGUGACCAAGUGUCUGGUCAGGAAUCAUCCAUUACGGUACGAGUAAAGUGACUUGCCGGUAACGAGAUUGAACGAGGUAUUGGGAUACUGACGAUUGAAUCUCGGGCAAGUAACAUACCGAUUGACGAAGGGAAUUGUGUACGGGGUUGCUUGAAUCCUCGACAUCGUGGUUCAUCCGAUGAGAUCAUCGAGGAGCAUGUGGGAGCCAACAUGGGUAUUCAGAUCCCACUGUUGGUUAUUGACCGGAGAGCAAUCUCGGUCAUGUCUACAUGUCUCCCGAACCCGUAGGGUAUGCACACUUAAGGUUCGGUGACGCUAGGGUUGUAGGGAUAUGUAUAUGCAGUAACCUGAAUGUUGUUCGGAGUCCCGGAUGAGAUCCCGGACGUCACGAGGAGUUUCAGAAUGGUCUGGAGGUAAAGAAUUAUAUAUAGGAAGUGCUAUUUCGGCCAUCGGGACAAGUUUCGGGGUCACCGGUAUUGUACCGGGACCACCGGAAGGGUCCCGGGGGUCCACCGGGUGGGGCCACCUAUCCCGGAGGGCCCCAUGGGCUGAAGUGGGAAGGGAUCCAGCCCAAAGUGGGCUGGGGCGCCACUUCCCUAGGGCCCAUGCGCCUAGGGUGGGGGAAACCCUAAAGAGGGGGGCGCCCCCUUGCUUGGGGGGCAAGCCCCCCACCCCUUGGCCGCCGCCCCCUUAGGAGAUUGCAUCUCCUAGGGCCGGCGCCCCCCCCCUAGGCCCCCCUAUAUAUAGUGGGGGGAUGGAGGACCUCUUACCUUUGCCUUUGGUGCCUCCCUCUCCCUCUCCAACACAUCCUCCUCCUCCAUAGAGCUUGGCGAAGCCCUGCCGGAGUACUGCAGCUCCAUCACCACCACGCCGUCGUGCUGCUGCUGGAGCCAUCUUCCUCAACCUCUCCUUCCCCCUUGCUGGAUCAAGAAGGAGGAGACGUUAUGCUGACCGUACGUGUGUUGAACGCGGAGGUGCCGUCCGUUCGGCGCUAGGAUCUCUGGUGAUUUGGAUCACGUCGAGUACGACUUCCUCAUCCCCGUUCUUUGAAUGCUUCCACGCGUGAUCUACAAAGGUAUGUAGAUGCAAUCCAAUCACUCGUUGCUAGAUGAACUCCUAAAUGGAUCUUGGUGAAACCGUAGGAAUUUUUUUGUUUUCUGCAGCGUUCCCCAACACAAACAAGCCCCUCGGGCCUGGUAUGACACACUCAAAUACUUCCUGAAGAGCAAAGGCUUCAUACCUGGUUCUCUCAACCCCACUCUCUUCACGAAGACAUAUGAUGGUGAACUGUUUGUGUGCCAAAUAUAUGUGGAUGACAUUAUCUUCGGCUGCACCAAUCAGAAGUACAGUGAAGAGUUUGGAUAUAUGAUGCAAGAGCAAUAUCAAAUGUCUAUGAUGGGAGAGCUGAAGUUCUUUCUCGGUCUUCAAAUACGACAGCAACGCAACAACAUCUUCAUAUCUCAAGAGAAGUAUCUCAAAGAUUGCCUGAAGAAGUUCGGUAUGCAAGACUGCAAAGGCUUCACGACGCCAAUGCCAGCCAAGCAUCAUCUGGGUCCUGACGACAAUGGUAAAGAGUUCGAUCAAAACGUAUACCGCUCCAUGAUUGGUUCUUUACUUUAUCUAUGUGAAUCUAGGCCAGAUAUUAUGCUUAGUGUUUGCAUGUGUGCUCGAUUUCAAGCGGCACCAAAGGAGUCGCAUCACUUAGCUGUGAAGCGAAUUCUUUGAUAUUUGGCUCACACCCCAACUCUAGGAUUAUGGUAUCCAAAGGGCUCAGAGUUUGAUCUGGUUGGAUUCUCGGAUGCUGAUUAUGCUGGUGACAAAGUUGAUCGCAAGUCUACAUCAGGCACAUGUCACUUUCUGGGACAAUCACUUGUAUGUUGGUCUUCAAAGAAGCAGAACUGUGUAUCUCUCUCCACUGCUGAAUCUGAAUACAUUGCUACUGGAUCUUGCUGCGCUCAGCUUCUGUGGAUGAAGCAAACACUCAAAGACUAUGGCAUUCAUCUGAAGCAAGUGCCACUCUACUGCAACAAUGAAAGCACCAUCAAGAUUGCCAACAACCCAGUUCAACACUCGAAGACAAAGCACAUUGAAAUUCGUCAUCACUUUCUCAGAGAUCAUGUUGUGCAGGAAGAUAUUGAUAUCAUACACGUCAACACUGAAGAGCAAUUGGCAGAUAUCUUCACCAAGCCCUUGGAUGAGAAGAGAUUUUUCAAGUUACGGUGUGAGCUAAAUAUCCUGGAAUCCUCAAAUGUCCUGUGAUCAGGCACACAUCCUAACCCUUAUGCAUAUUGAUGACUUAGAUGUGCAACACAUGAAGUAAAGUAUAUCUUAAAUCAAUGAAGACAUACAUUCUAAGUGUGAAUACAUUAAUGUCGAAUUUGACUUUGGAGCGCCACGAUAAUUGUGCGCCGUGUCUGGGUCUAAUACUUCCUAUACGGUGGGUAACGCCACCACCAAAUGUUCUGUUUGAAGUGUUUCACUCAUGGCGUUACAUUUGCUAUGUCUUCACAUUUGGUUUGGCUUCAAUCUCAACAUGUCUUCAUGAUUAUCUUCACUAUGUUGAUUAUAUAGAUAUAUAUAUACUAGUGUUCUGUCCUCUACAGCAUUCACUUAUAGCUAUGUUUUCUUGUUGAAUCUUUUGAACUAAGUGAAUGUGAUCGGACCCUAACCUCUCUAUGCUUUCUAUCUCAAAUUCUAUCUCUCCAAAUCAUAUGCAUUCUAUUGAAACUGUCGAAUGUCUUCCCUGCGUCCUUGUCAGCAGAAGAUACAGAGACAACCAUUAAGUCCGUUUUCAAUGCUCAUUCCUCCACAUGAAACCCGGAGAAGUAGGAAUGACCACCCGACAAUCCAGGCGUGCGUGGGACGUGGAACAAACCCCAAAAUUCCGCAUAAUGGCCACGUGUUCCUCAGAUGCGAAUCGCCAGGGGCACCUGUGUAAUAACGCAGUGCCGCCCCUGUACCUAUAAACACACACUUCACGGCGGUCAUUAUCUCUUCUUCCACUCUCGCACGAACCCUAGCGCCACCGCUAGCCCUCGACGACGCCGGCGACGAAGUGCUUCGCUGUCGCAACCUCUCCGACGCCGUCUUCACGCCGACCGCGGACAUCGUCCUCUCCGCCGUUGCCGUAGGUGUCCUCCGUCGCCAAGUUAGGGCACGGAAGAUCGAACUGCUCGGCCUCAUCUUCCACUCUGUCUAGCAGUUCUUAGUGUGGUAAAUAAAACCUCCUUUUUACGGCACUAUUGAUCCUAUGGCUUUGUCACCUUCUACCACAAGUAGUUUCUAUUCACACAAGUUAGAUCUCUCUCAUACUGCAUCUCAUAACAUGCCUAGUAUAUUCACUUAUGCUACACAAAGUAGUUAGAUUCCUCACUUGUACUGAUCUCUGGAUUCGUACAAAUCUGGAACCAACUCCUUAUCUAUGAGUGAAUGUCUUCGCACGAUGAGGUCAAUGUCUUCUAAACUGAUUUAUCUUCAAAAUCUUCUGAGAAUGCAUAUGACCUCUUCCCCUUCCCUCGCACCUUAAUGCUAUCAUAGGUACAUGUCCGUGGGAGAAUCCUUUGGUUCUCAUAGUCUGCAUUCAUUUGCAGAAUUCUUAUAGCAUCACAUAAAUUCUCCCGAAGCCAGUUCCUGUUUGUCCAGCAAGCGAAAAGCUUUGAAGCCUUUGAAUGUGUUGAAGCCUUUCAGUUUAAAGUUCAUGGCUUCAGAGAAAUCAGCAAGGAAGGGUGGCAGAAAGCGUCAUGGAGAAACAUCUAGAGAUCUGCCAGAUGACCUCUCAGAACUGUACAAGACAGAUCCUGAAGAGGAUUACAAUCAGCGCAAGACCUGAAUCCAAUGGAUUCGAAGAUAUUGGGCAGAACAAUGGUUCAAAUACCGAUUUGUAACCCAGGAAUAUGCUGAGAAAAAUGCCAUCAAGAGACCAUGGGGAGACACCCUAUACGAGAAUCUUCAACCCAGGUCCAGAGAUGAAGCCAUUGAACAAGGCUUCUAUCCCAGCAUGGUUCGUGGGCCACAGCCUGUUGAUGCACACCCAUCGUCACUACUAUGGUGUCGUGACGACAUUCUGUUCAAGCGCAACUUCCAGUUUGCCCAGAACUCAGCGAAGCAAAACAAGAAGACAUUGGGACUAGACUUCAACCCUGGUCCCUCAGCUCCAAGGGCUGAUGGCACACGAGAUGCAGAACCCAAUGUCGUCGGUCCUUUCUACAACCUUGAAGGCCUCAUCACCCACAGAGCCUUUGAUAGUUGAACCCAUUUCCAUGGUUCGUCCUGACGCUGAACGCCAACUGACAAUCCAUGAGCCUGCUUUCACAGAGGCUCAUGAAGCUGAAGACUUUCCAGCAGUUGAUCCCAUCGCUGCUGAAGACAUUGGUCAACAUGACCAUGUAGAAGAUGGUGCAGUCCUUCCUCAGCUCGAGAACAGCGAACUCAUCAGCAUUGGUCGUCCACUGACGCCAAUUGCACAGGAUGCUUCAUGGGCGGAUUGCCCACAAGAGGAAGAAGACUUUGAGGCCCAGCCAACAGCAACUCCAGAGGCGUCACCCGCGUUGCGCAGACUUCGCAAAGGUCCAAGGCCUCAAGCCUCUGCUGAAGACAAUCCGGCUACCACCACCAACACCAGUGAAGCCACUGACGCUGUCAUGGCUGAAGCUAAUGUGGAGCCCUCACCAACAAAAGCACCAGAAGUCAGCGAAGCCACUGAUCCCGCCACUUCUGUUCCUGAGUCUGCUGCCGGUCCCCAGUUCGACUAUCAUGUUGAGCACAGGCCUCAGGUACAGAAGCCAAUCCCAAGAUUGCCAAGGUUCCCAGGUCCUGCAUCAGCACCUAGCUCCUUCAAUAUCAAUGGCUUCAGAGCAGACAACACAUUCUUCAAUAGCUCCAGGAACCCCUAGUCAAGGGAAAGGAUAUCAUCUGAUCGGUUCUGGAGCUAUCCGCAGUGAAGCUAUUACUCCUGCAUUCUAUACAAUCAAGGUUGCAUCUUCCCCCACAAGCGCCUUGACAUUGAAGCUAUAGCUGGUCUGCCCUGUCUGGAAGAAGCUCUGGAUUGCUUCAAAGAAGUUGGAUUGCUGCCAUACGUCACUGACCAAGAGCAUUAGAAUGAAGAGUUGCUGCUCCAACUCUAUGCCACACUUCACAUCCGCGGGUAUAGCAGAGAUCCGAAGACUUGGGUCCUAGAGUGGAUGACAGGAAAAGUUCAUCACGAAGCCAAAUCCUUUGACAUCAUUGAGCUCACUGGUUUGCCCACUCCUGGCGAUCUCUACGAGCAUGGUUGUCAGCUUCAUAGUGAAGCUAUUGAGAGCAUCUUUCAGAAGACUGAACCUAAUAUGAGUCAGAUGCUCAGUAUGAUGAAGCCAUUGCCCCAAGAUGCUGCUUAUCCCACGGAGUUCUUCGUUGAAGACCUUGAGUAUCUACCAAGAACCAUUUAUCACAUCAUAAGGCGAACUCUCUGGCCAAUCAAAGGACACUCUCCACAUGCCAAGCUUGAAGGUGCAAUGAAUACUUUGGUCUUCUAUAUUCUUCAUGGAAAAUGCUUCAAUGCACAGGACUUCUUCAUUCGCCAACUUGCUGCAUCAGGCGCUGAUCUGUUUGGCUUGAAGUUCUACACCCCAUGGGUCAUGCGGCUGAUCAAACUUCACUCCACUAUCUCAUAUCAGCCAUCUGCUCGCAAUCAUCGGAUUUUUCUGCCUGAUGUGGAUAUGUCGAUUGAAGCCAUCUAUCCUGAGCCUACCAAGGAACCCCUAAGUCUUCAGAAUGCAGAGCAUCAGAGUUUUUCUCAGAACAUUGAAGGAGUUGAAGCAGUCGCUCGUGUGUAUCCUUUGGCUGGCACUACACGUGCACCGCAUCCUGCUCUCACUGAAGCCACUGGCAGUACAACUGCUCCACGACCCAAGAAGCGCACUCGUGUUCUCAAUGACCGAGAGCUUCUUGUGGCUCUUCAUCAGAAACAGGAUAGGCAUCAUGACUGGCUGAAGCGUCAGAUGCAAAGCCUCUUGGUGGAUGUUAAUCGCAUUCCCAGUCUUGCCACCAAGAAUGCUUUUGUUGCCCACGAAACCUCUCACCGCACAUGGAAAGGGCUAACACUGAUGUGUUCUGAAGAUGAUCUUCAAGAGGAUGGCUUCCCUGAGCGAUUCAAGUUUGACUCCACACCUCCUCGAAGGGCAGUGCUACGACGAACUCCAUCCCUUGAAGACUCUGAGUUCUCUUCCUCUGCUGCAACUGUGACUGCCAGAGUGAUCGAGGAUGAAGACGAUGCUACUUCACCGCCACCUCCUUCAGCACGCUUCGACUCUGCUCCAAGCUCUUCAGCACCGCCAAACACCACCAACGACCCUGCUGCUUCACCUACUCCUCAUGGGAACGAGUAGAUGCUCUAUGUCUUCAAACCUUUUUGGUCCUUACUGACAAAAGGGGGAGAAGCAUAUGAGGUUGAUAGUCUUCAAGCGGGUCCAUAUGGGUGGGUGCUUUAUAUUUUGCUUCGUGCUUACAACUCUCGUUUUGCUACAUUUGGUUCUUUGAGUUGUAACACUUAAACUCGAUGGUCGUCUACUACUUAUCUGCCACCUUGUGUUGCGAUGAUAAAUUCCGCAUGUGCGACGAUAAAUUCCGCACUUAGAUCAUUCUGCAGACGUCCAUUUUCCAUUAUGCAUGUCAUUAUCUUCAUAUACUUUCACAUGCAUAGUGGAUUGUCAUCAUAAGUUGAAGUGGAUCUCCACAAGUACAACCUGCCAUGUGCAUUUGCAUUCCAAAAGCAAAUUACUUAUAUGCACAUCUUCAGGGGGAGCCCUUGCAACUUAUGAAGACAAUUCCUUAUCCUUUACAAUUUUACAGAUUAUAUUCCCGUUGAAAACUUCAACUAGUUUGUCAUCAAUCACCAGAAAGGGGGAGAUUGUAAGUGCAUCUAGUGCCACCCCUAGUUGGUUUUGGAGUAUUGACGACAAAUCUAGUUGAGGGACUAAUGUGUUUGUGAGAAUUGCAGGAAAACACAGAUAGAAGUCCCUCAUUGAUUCGGUUUUCCUACCAGAGAUGACCCCUAAAAAUGUAUGAAGACAUUGAAGUCAAAGGUGGUAUAUGAAGAUAUUCACAUUGAAGACUAUGACAUGAGAAGACAUCACAUGAAGCCUAUGGAGCUCGAAGACUUAGAUCUGUCGUAGUUCUUUUUCUUCCUUGUUGAGUCAUAGGAACCACCGUACUAUUAAGUGGGGUCCAAGAGAACCAGUCAGAAUGACUGAAGUGAUGCUUAAACAAAACCUAUGUCUUCGAGUGAAGACUAUGAGAGCGAAUCUUGUCUAGAGUCGGACAAGUCAGCUUUGCUUGUAGCCCAAGUAAAGUUGCCGUGUGAGUUUGAAAUCUGACCGUUGGAACACGUGUCAAUUCCUUAGUGACCUAGGGUCAUUUCGGACAAAUCAGGUCGGGUUGCCAAGUGGCUAUAAAUAGCCCACCCCCUACAACCAUAAACGGUUGGCUGCUCAGAUUCAGAGUACGGCUUUUGUCGUUUGAGAGCAACCCACCUCGAAGCCUUUGAGAGAGAAUUCCCUGCGAGGAUAAAGCCCUAACCACCCAGAGCCAAAGAGAAUUAGGCAUCACUUAUGUCUUCUUGUCUGUGUGAUCUGAAGACUUAUUACACUUGAGGACUGUGCAUCCUCCAGCCGGUUAGGCGUUGCGUUCUGAGCAUCCAAGAGACAUUGUGGAAUGCCAAUGAACGAAGUCUAUGAAGGUUUGGGAGUCUACCUUGAAGACUUACCAGAGUGAUUGGGCGAGGUCUGUGUGACCUUAGCUCAAGGGGAAUACGGUGAGGACUGGGUGUCCUGAGCUGCGUGUUCAGGACUGGGUGUCCGGGACUGUGUGUCCUAAGGUUUAAAUACCUAGCCGCCCUAACCAGACGUACAGUUGUCACAGCAACUGGAACUGGUCCAACAAAUCAUUGUCUACAGCAAGUCACUGGUUUCAUCUUCCCUUCCCUUUACAUACUGCUACUCCUUGUGAAGUCAUUGUAUGUUCGCACUAUCUUUUGUCUUUGCUGAGUGACUGUGUGUUCUGUGUGGCUUCACAAUAUCUUCCUACCUGAUCCUUACUACAUUGCUGCUAUUAGUCAUUGUGCUUUCACUCUAUUGAAUACUUGACUAUGGCUUGCCUAGUGUAGUCUACCUUCCGCUGCAGGGUAGUAGGUUUAUUUCUAUCGUUUGUCUUCAUAACUUCCACAUUUUGAAAACUUUCAUAAAAAUCGCCUAUUCACCCCCCCCUCUAGUCGAUAUAACGCACUUUCACUUAGAAUGAUGGUAGCUUAAAUAAGAUGAUCCCUCGUAAAAAAAUUCAAGAAAGUGUUCCCCCUAACUGUGCACCGUUGCGAAGGUUCGUUGUUUCGAAGCACCACGUGAUGAUCGGGUGUGAUAGAUUCUAACGUUUGAAAACAACGGGUGUAAGCCAGAUUUACACACGCAAUACACUUAGGUUGACUUGACGAGCCUAGCAUGUAUAGACAUGGCCUCGGAACACAGAAGACCGAAAGGUCGAGCAUGAGUCGUAUAGAAGAUACGAUCAACAUGAAGAUGUUCACCGAUGUUGACUAGUCCGUCUCAGGUGGUGAUCGGACACGGCCUAGUUAACUCGGAUCAUGUUAUACUUAGAUGACUGGAGGGAUGUCUAUCUGAGUGGGAGUUCAUUGAAUAAUUUGAUUAGAUGAACUUAAUUAUCAUGAACUUAGUCUAAAAUCUUUACAAUAUGUCUUGUAGAUCAAAUGGCUCAUGUUGUCCUCAACUUCAACGCGUUCCUAGAGAAAACCAAGCUGAAAGACGAUGGCAGCAACUAUACGGACUGGGUCCGGAACAUGAGGAUCAUCCUCAUAGCUGCCAAGAAAGAUUAUGUCCUAGAAGGACCGCUAGGUGACGCACCCGUCCCACAAAACCAAGACGUUAUGAACGCUUGGCAGACACGUGCUGAUGAUUACUCCCUCGUUCAGUUCGGCAUGCUUUACAGCUUAGGACCGGGGCUCCAAAAGCGUUUUGAGAGACACGGAGCAUAUGAGAUGUUCGCAGAGCUGAAAAUGGUUUUUCAAGCUCAUGCCCGGGUCAAGAGAUAUGAAGUCUCCGACAAGUUCUUCAGUUGUAAGAUGGAGGAAAACAGUUCUGUGAGUGAGCACAUACUCAAAAUGUCUGGGUUGCAUAACCGCUUGACUCGGCUGGGAGUUAAUCUCCCGGAUGACGCAGUUAUUGACAUAAUCCUUCAGUCGCUUCCACCGAGCUACAAGAGCUUUAUGAUGAACUUCAAUAUGCAGGGGAUGGAAAAGACCAUUCCUGAGGUAUAUUCAAUGCUGAAAUCAGCAGAGGUAGAAGUCAAAAAGGAACAUCAAGUGUUGAUGGUGAAUAAAAACACUAAGUUCAAGAAAGGCAAGGGUAAGAAGAACUUCAAGAAGGACGGCAAGGGAGUUGCCGCGCCCGGUAAGCAAGCUGCCGGGAAGAAGCCAAAGAAUGGACCCAAGCCCGAGACUGAGUGUUUUUAUUGCAAGGGAAGUGGUCACUGGAAGCGGAACUGCCCCAAAUACUGAGCGGACAAGAAGGCCGGCAUCACGAAAGGUAUAUGUGAUAUACAUGUAAUUGAUGUGUACCUUACCAGUACUCGUAGUAGCUCCUGGGUAUUUGAUACCGGUGCGGUUGCUCACAUUUGUAACUCAAAGCAGGAGCUGCGGAAUAAACGGAGACUGGCGAGGACGAGGUGACAAUGCGCGUCGGGAAUGGUUCCAAGGUCGAUGUGAUCGCCGUCGGCACGCUACCUCUACAUUUACCUACGGGAUUAGUUUUAAACCUCAAUAAUUGUUAUUUAGUGCCAGCUUUGAGCAUGAACAUUGUAUCAGGAUCUCGUUUAAUACGAGAUGGCUACUCAUUUAAAUCCGAGAAUAAUGGUUGUUCUAUUUAUAUGAGAGAUAUGUUUUAUGGUCAUGCUCUAAUGGUGAAUGGUUUAUUCUUAAUGAAUCUCCAGCGUAAUGCUACACAUAUUCAUAGUGUGAAUACCAAAAGAUGUAAGGUUGAUAAUGAUAGUCCCACAUACUUGUGGCACUGCCGCCUUGGUCACAUAGGUGUCAAACGUGUGAAGAAGCUCCAUGCAGAUGGACUUUUAGAGUCUCUUGAUUACGAAUCAUUUGACAGGUGCGAACCAUGCCUCAUGGGUAAAAUGACCAAGACUCCGUUCUUAGGAACAAUGGAGCGAGCAACCAACUUAUUGGAAAUCAUACAUACUGAUGUGUGCGGUCCAAUGAGUGUUGAGGCUCGCGGUGGCUAUCGUUGCGUUCUCACCCUCACUGAUGACUUGAGUAGAUAUGGGUAUGUCUAAUUAAUGAAACACAAGUCUGAGACCUUUGAAAAGUUCAAGGAAUUUCAGAGUGAGGUUGAGACUCAACGUGACAGGAAAAUCAAGUUCUUGCGAUCAGAUCGUGGGGGAGAAUACUUGAGUCAUGAAUUUGGCACACACUUAAGAAAAUGUGGAAUAGUUUCACAACUCACGCUGCCUGGAACACCUCAGCGUAAUGGUGUGUCCGAACGUCGUAAUCGCACUCUAUUAGAUAUGGUGCGAUCUAUGAUGUCUCUUACCGAUUUACCGCUAUCAUUUUGGGGCUAUGCUUUAGAGACUGCCGCAUUCACUUUAAAUAGGGCUCCGUCGAAAUCGUUUGAGAUGACACCGUAUGAAUUAUGGUUUGGGAAGAAACCUAAGCUGUUGUUUCUAAAAGUUUGGGGAUGCGAUGCUUAUGUCAAGAAACUUCAACCUGAAAAGCUUGAACCCAAAUCGGAAAAAUGCGUCUUCAUAGGAUACCCUAAAGAAAUUGUUUGGUAUACCUUCUACCUCAUAUCCGAAGGCAAGAUCUUCGUUGCCAAGAAUGGGUCCUUUCUAGAGAAAGAGUUUCUCUCGAAAGAAAUAAGUGGGAGGAAGGUAGAAAUUGAUGAAGUAUUACCUCUUGAACCGGUAAGUGGCGCAGCUCAAGAAAAUGUUCCUGAGGCGCCUGCACCGACUAGAGAGGAAGUUGACGAUGAUGAUCAUGAAACUUCAGAUCAAGUUGCUACUGAACUUCGUAGGUCCACAAGGACACGUUCCGCACCAGAGUGGUACGGCAACCCUGUCUUGGAAAUCAAGUUGUUAGACAACGGUGAACCUUUGAACUAUGAAGAAGCGAUGGCGGGCCCGGAUUCUGACAAAUGGCUGGAAGCCAUGAAAUCCGAGAUAGGAUCCAUGUAUGAAAACGAAGUAUGGACUUUGACUGAAUUGCCCGUUGAUCGACGAGCCAUAGAAAAUAAAUGGAUCUUUAAGAAGAAGACAGACGCGGAUGGUAAUGUGACCAUCUAUAAAGCUCGGCUUGUCGCUAAGGGUUAUCGACAAGUUCAAGGGGUUGACUACAAUGAGACUUUCUCACCCGUAGCGAAGCUGAAGUCCGUCUGAAUCAUGUUAGCAAUUGCCGCAUUCUAUGAUUAUGAGAUAUGGCAAAUGGACGUCAAAACGGCAUUCCUUAAUGGUUUCCUUAAGGAAGAAUUGUAUAUGAUGCAGCCGGAAGGUUUUAUCAAUCCUAAGAAUGCUGACAAGGUGUGCAAGCUCCAACGCUCGAUUUAUGGGCUGGUGUAAGCAUCUCGGAGUUGGAACAUUCGUUUUGAUGAGAUGAUCAAAGCGUUUGGGUUUACGCAGACUUAUGGAGAAGCCCGUGUUUACAAGAAAGUGAGUGGGAGCUCUGUAGCAUUUCUCAUAUUGUAUGUGGAUGACAUACUGUUGAUGGGAAAUGAUACAGAAUUCUUGGAAAGCAUAGAGGCCUACUUGAACAAGUGUUUUUCAAUGAAGGACCUUGGAGAAGCUGCUUAUAUAUUAGGCAUCAAGAUUUAUAGAGAUAGAUCGAGACGCCUCAUUGGUCUUUCACAGAGUACAUACCUUGACAAGAUAUUGAAGAAGUUCAAAAUGGAUCAGUCAAAGAAGGGGUUCUUGCCUAUAUUGCAAGGUACGAGAUUGAGCACGGCUCAAUGCCCGACCAUGACAGAAGAUAGAGAAAAGAUGAGUGUCAUCCCCUAUGCCUCGGCCAUAGGGUCUAUCAUGUAUGCUAUGCUAUGUACCAGACCUGAUGUAAACCUUGCCGUAAGUUUGUUAGGAAGGUACCAAAGUAAUCCUGGCAUGGAACACUGGACAUCGGUCAAGAAUAUCCUGAAGUACCUGAAAAGGACCAAGGAAAUGUUUCUCGUUUAUGGAGGUGACGAAGAGCUCAUCGUAAAGGGUAAUGUCGAUGCUAGCUUCGACACAGAUCUGGAUGACUCAAAGUCACAAACCGGAUAUGUGUAUAUUUUGAAUGGUGGGGCAGUAAGCUGGUGCAGUUGCAAGCAAAGCAUUGUGGCGGGAUCUACAUGUGAAGCGGAGUACAUGGCAGCCUCGGAGGCAGCACAAGAAGCAGUAUGGGUGAAGGAGUUCAUUGCCGACCUAGGAGUCAUACCCAAUGCGUCGGGCCCGAUGGCUCUCUUCUGUGACAACACUGGAGCUAUUGCCCUUGCCAAGGAGACCAGGUUUCACAGGAAGACCAGGCAUAUCAAGCGUCACUUCAACUCCAUUCGUGAAAGUGUUCAAAAUGGAGACAUAGAGAUUUGUAAAGUACAUACAGACCUGAAUGUAGCAGAUCCGUUGACUAAACCUCUCCCUAGAGCAAAACAUGAUCAACACCAGAACUGCAUGGGUGUUCGAUUCAUUACAAUGUAACUAGAAUAUUGACUCUAGUGCAAGUGGGAGACUGUUGGAAAUAUGCCCUAGAGGCAAUAAUAAAAUGGUUAUUAUUAUAUUUAUUUGUUCAUGAUAAUUGUCUAUUAUUCAUGCUAUAAUUGUGUUAUCCGGAAAUCGUAAUACAUGUGUGAAUACAUAGACCACAACACGUCCCUAGUGAGCCUCUAGUUGACUAGCUCGUUGAUCAAAAGAUAGUCAUGGUUUCCUGACUAUGGACAUUGGAUGUCAUUGAUAACGGGAUCACAUCAUUAGGAGAAUGAUGUGAUGGACAAGACCCAAUCCUAAGCUUAGCUCAAAGAUCGUGUAGUUCGUUUGCUGUAGCUUUUCUGAAUGUCAAGUAUCAUUUCCUUAGACCAUGAGAUUGUGCAACUCCCGGAUACCGUAGGAGUGCCUUGGGUGUGCCAAACUUCACAACGUAACUGGGUGACUAUAAAGUUACAUUACAGGUAUCUCCGAAAGUGUUUGUUGGGUUGGCACGAAUUGAGACUGGGAUUUGUCACUCCGUAUGACGGAGAGGUAUCUCUGGGCCUACUCGGUAAUGCAUCAUCAUAAUGAGUUCAAUGUGAUCAAGUGGUUGAUCACGGGAUCAUGCAUUACGGUACAAGUAAAGUGACUUGCCGAUAACGAGACUGAACAAGGUAUUGGGAUACCGACGAUCGAGUCUCGGGCAAGUAACGUACCGAUUGACAAAGGGAAUUGUAUACGGAUUGAUUGAAUCCUCGACAUCGUGGUUCAUCCGAUGAGAUCAUCGUGGAGCAUGUGGGAGCCAACAUGGGUAUCUAGAUCCCGCUGUUGGUUAUUGACUAGAGAGUCGUCUCGGUCAUGUCUGCAUGUCUUCCGAACCCAUAGGGUCUACACACUUAAGGUUUGGUGACGCUAGGGUUGUUAGGAAGACUUGUAUGUGAUUACCGAAUGUUGUUCGGAGUCCCGGAUGAGAUCCCGGACGUCAUGAGGAGUUCUGGAAUGGUCCGGAGGUAAAGAUUUAUAUAUGGGAAGUUGUCAUACGGUCGCCGGAAAGAUUCGGGGGCAUAUCGGUAUUGUACCGAGGCCACCGGAGGGGUUCCGGGGGUCCACCGGGAGGGGCCACCUCUUCCGGAGGGCCUUAUGGGCUGUAUGGAGAAGGGAACCAGCCCAAGUGGGCUGGGGCGCCACACCCCCCUAGGGCCCAUGCGCCUAGGGUUGGGGGAAACCGUAAGGGGGGCGCCCCCUUGCUUGGGGGGCAAGCCCCCUCCCCUUGGCCGCCCCCCCUCUAGAUCUCAUCUAGAGGGGGUCAGCCCCCUUCCCCCUUCCCCUAUAAAUAGAGGGGUGAGGGGAGGGCUGCACACAACAUCCAAGGCGCAGCCCCUCCCCUCCCCAACACCUCUCCUUCUCCAUAAGAGCUUGGCGAAGCCCUGCCGGAGUACUGCAGCUUCAUCACCACCACGUCGUCGUGCUGCUGUUGGAGCCCUCUUCCUCAACCUCUCCCUCCUCCUUGCUGGAUCAAGGCGCAGGAGACGUCCUCGCUCCGUACGUGUGUUGAACGCGGAGGUGUCGUCCGUUCGGCGCUAGGAUCUUCGGUGAUUUGGAUCACGUCGAGUACGACUCCAUCAACCCCGUUCUCUUGAACGCUUCCGCUCGUGAUCUACAAGGGUAUGUAGAUGCACUCCCCUCUCCCUCGUUGCUAGAUGACUCCAUAGAUUGAUUUUGGUGAUGCAUAGAAAAUUUUAAAAUUCUGCUACGUUCCCCAACAUGUCAUCCAUUCCAUGCCCACCAUUCCUCAAUGAGAUCCUUCUGAAGAUCAUCAUGUGAUGCAGGACGUCGAAUGGCAUGAUAGGAGGCAACAAAACGGGCCACCCUUUCAGCCCUCCGUCGCACUCACACGGGAAGUCCCAAGAGCUCAUACUAAGAGUAGUCUACAUCUUGGCCAUGCUCAUUCUCGAUGAUCAUGUUGUGCAUGAUCACACAAGCGUGCAUGAUGUACCAAAGCAUUUUUUUUGAUCCCAAAAUCGAGCUGGUCCUCUCACAAUAGCAAAUUGGGCUUGUAAAAUCCCAAAAGCUCUCUCCACAUCUUUUCUAGCCGCCGCUUGAGCAUUGUGGAAAUCAAGAUUUUUCUUACCUUCCAGUUUUUUCAACGGCUUCACAAAUGUUUGCCACUUUGGGUAGAUGUCAUCCGCAAGAUAAUAGCCAUAGUUGUACGUACGACCAUUUGCUACAAACUGCACCGAUGGCAAAUCACCAUUUGCAAUCUUAUUCGUCAGUGGUGACCGGUUGACAACAUUGAUGUCAUUCAAAGAUCCAGGCGUUUCAAAGAAUACAUUGUAAGCAAAAUUUCUUUGAGUGCGAAACAAUUGCAAUACAAAUGAUUCAACAAAACAUGCAUGGGAUUUUUCUGUUUACGAUCCGAGUGUACCUUGCUCCAUCAUGAAGCCUUAGGAAGUCGAUUCCGCCAUCGUCGAACGUUCUUCUUCUCUCUGCCACUUUGCUUCACGCGUUCUUCGGAUGGAUGAAGAACUAACCUUAAGUGUGUUUGUAUAAACUAUAUUGUAUUGUAUGUUCUUUGUAGCGGCAGCGCUUCCGCAGUGGAAAGAACCACAGCCGAUGAAGUGCCUUAAUUCGCUAGAAGCAGCGACCCUUUUAUAGUCCGUCUACGGACACCAGUACGCGGCCGCAUCUCUUCCGAAUGGACGCAUCGGUCCAUAAAGCGGCUGUAACAUGCAGCGGACGUCACUUCCAAUUAUAUCUGGCCAUGGGUCGGGCCGGGCCAGGCUUAGGCCAGGCCGGGCCGGGCUUGGGCCGGGCAUAAAAAAGCCCAUGGCAAAAAACUGAGACCCAGGCCCUCCCAGGCCCUACCAUCGGGCCUACUUUUCAAGCCCAAACCCGGCCCAUCUCGUAAAAAGCCCUGAAAAUCCCUUAGGGCUUAGGGCCGUGGGCCGGGCCUCUUCCUUAAAAUGCUAAUAUGCCAAGCCCAAGCCCGUCCAGGCCCUGCUGAUGGGCUCAAAACUCAGGCCCAAGCCUGGCCCACGAACAAGCCCAUCGGGCCUAGGCCCUGGAUUUUAGGGCCGGGCCUAGGUGGGCCGACAGGGCCGGGCUUGAGAUGGCCAGGACUACUUCCAAUGAGCGCAUGCAUCCCUCCGUGAAGAGACACGUCUUUCAUCAGUUCCAUAUUUCGUACGCUUUGCUUCAAAGUCCCGCCUGUGUUAAUGCCUCUUGUGCUAACUAGUAAGCAUGCACGUGCAACGCACGUCUCAGACGUAAAACAUGUGAAUUCACAUAAUAUAUAAAAAAUAAACGUUUUUCAAAAUAUAAAUCAAAUGGAUACACAAUGUUUGAUGUCGCUCAAAUUGUAUUUUCAAAAGCGAGAUGCAAUAGUGGUUAUGUUGCUGCAUAGAGUAAUAGCACGAAAAUAUUCUCAUUUAAAUAAAAUCAACAAUUAUUUAUUAAUGCAGUAAUAUAGGCAUGUAGUAUAGUCUUCUCUUCGAGUGUAGCCAGGAAAAAAAGUAUAAACUGCCUUACGGUGCAAUUAUAUUGUUGAAGAUGCUUAAUUCUCGAAUCUUAUUUUAUUCUACUAAUCUGCAUAGCAAAAUAUAAAUUUGUACUAAUUUGGAUCAAAUUAUAUAUAUUUUUUGGUUGUGUGGACUGCCAAAAUUAUAUAGCUACCUACUAUGGAUAAUAGGAGAUAGAAGAUGAUAUGUGACUACAACGACUUCUAUAUGAAAUAAAGAUGAUUUACAAGAACUAAUUGAAAUGUAAAAGAGCUAAAAAAAUCCAAUAAUUAUCAUGAUAGAAAAUUUUUAUCCGGUUUUGUAUGUGUUUAUGCGUUGGCAACCAUACUAACUUACAAUGAUGUAAGGCGCUUUAUACGUAUAGAAACUGAAAUAAGUUAUGAAGAAAAAUAAAGAUGGAAGGAAAAGUAUUCUAGAGUAUUUGUCAAGCUUAACCUUAUCAAGCUUUCAGGUCAGCUUCUAAAUUAAAAAAAUGAUGAAUCCUCAAAUAAGAAAAAGCCAACAAUUUGCAACAUGCUACAAAACUGGUGAAGAUAGAAAGCAUUCAUCUUCUUUUUCCUUGUUGUAAGGAGUAGCUUCAGCAUACAUUUGUAACUGUGUAAUACCUGAUCCAGAAAAAGUUGUUCAUUAUUAUUAUUGGAGGAAAGAGGCGCGCAGACAAAGAAAGAGAGGCGGCGCAAAUAAGGCCUUAAACAGCAUGUGACCCAUUUUAGAUGUAUGGAAUCAUGUAACUGAAAUAGUAGUACAUCUUCAAUAUCUUGCCUCCUACUGAAUCUUACAUCAUUUACUGGAUUGCUAUGCAAUUAUGUUAAAGUGACGCGUGUAAAGUUUUCUCUAAGAAUGAAUCAUAUAUUCUGAUUUCCAACCUAUCCCUGGAGAUAGUGCCUAGGCAGGUGAAACCUGUAGGGGAACGUUGCAGAAAACAAAAAAAAUUCCUACGGUUUCACCAAGAUCCAUCUAGGAGUUCAUCUAGCAACGAGUGAUCGGAUUGCCUCUACAUACCUUUGUAGAUCACACGCGGAAGCGUUCAAAGAACGGGGAUGAGGAAGGCGUACUCGACGUGAUCCAAAUCACCGGAGAUCCUAGCGCCGAACGGACGGCACCUCCGCGUUCAACACACGUACGGUCAGCAUAACGUCUCCUUCUUCUUGAUCCAGCAAAGGGGAAGAAGAGGUUGAGGAAGAUGGCUCCAACAGCAGCACGACGGCGUGGUGGUGGUGGAGCUACAGUACUCCGGCAGGGCUUCGCCAAGCACUAUGGAGGAUGAGGAUGUGUUGGAGAGGGAGAGGGAGGCACCAAAAGCGUGGAUCAAGAGGCCCCCCUUCCCCCACUAUAUAUAGGGAGCCUAGGGGGGGCGCCGGCCCUAGGAGAUCCAAUCUCCUAGGGGGGCGGCGGCCAAGGGAGGAAUCCCUCCUCCCCAAGGCACCUAGGAGGUGCCUUCCCCCUUUGGGACUCUUCCCUUCCUUAUCUCUUGGCGCAUGGGCCUCUUGGGGCUGGUGCCCUUGGCCCAUAUAGGCCAAGGCACAUCCCCUACAGACCAUGUGGCCCUCCGGGGCAGGUGGCCCCACCCGGUGGACCCCCGGGACCCUUUCGGUGGUCCCGGUACAAUACCGGUGACCCCGAAACUUGUCCCGAUGGCCGAAAUAGCACUUCCUAUAUAUAAUUCUUUACCUCCGGACCAUUCCGGAACUCCUCGUGACGUCCGGGAUCUCAUCCGGGACUCCGAACAACAUUCGGGUUACUGCAUAUACAUAUCCCUACAACCCUAGUGUUACCGAACCUUAAGUGUGUAGACCCUACGGGUUCGAGAGACAUGUAGACAUGACCGAGAUCGCUCUCCGGUCAAUAACCAACAGCGGGAUCUGGAUACCCAUGUUGGCUCCCACAUGCUCCUCGAUGAUCUCAUCGGAUGAACCACGAUGUCGAGGAUUCAAGCAACCCCGUAUGCAAUUCCCUUUGUCAAUCGAUAUGUUACUUGCCCGAGAUUCGAUCGUCGAUAUCCCAAUACCUCGUUCAAUCUCGUUACCGGCAAGUCACUUUACUCGUACCGUAAUGCAUGAUCCCGUGACCAGACACUUGGUCACUUUGAGCUCAUAAUGAUGAUGCAUUACUGAGUGGGCCCAGUGAUACCUCUCCGUCAUACAGAGUGACAAAUCCCAGUCUUGAUCCGUGUCAACCCAACAGACACUUUCGGAGAUACCCGUAGUAUACCUUUAUAGUCACCCAGUUACGUUGUGACGUUUGGUACACCCAAAGCACUCCUACGGUAUCCGGGAGUUACACGAUCUCAUGGUCUAAGGAAUAGAUACUUGACAUUGGAAAACUCUAGAAGACGAACUAUACGAUCUUGUGCUAUGUUUGGGAUUGGGUCUUGUCCAUCACAUCAUUCUCCUAAUGAUGUGAUCCCGUUAUCAAUGACAUCCAAUGUCCAUAGUCAAGAAAUCAUGACUAUCUGUUGAUCAACGAGCUAGUCAACUAGAGGCUUACUAGGGACAUGUUGGUGUCUAUUAUUCACACAUGUAUUACGAUUUCUGGAUAACACAAUUAUAGCAUGAAUAAAAGAAAAUUACCAUGAACAAGGAAAUAUAAUAAUAAUGCUUUUAUUAUUGCCUCUAGGGCAUAUUUCCAACAGUCUCCCACUUGCACUAGAGUCAAUAAUCUAGUUACAUUGUGAUGAAUCGAACACCCAUGGAAUUCUGGUGUUGAUCAUGUUUUUCUCUAGGGAGAGGUUUAGUCAACGGAUCUGCUACAUUCAGGUCCGUAUGUACUUUACAAAUAUCUAUGUCUCCAUCUUGAACAUUUUCACGAAUGGAGUUGAAGCGACGCUUGAUGUGCCUUGUCUUCUUGUGAAACCUGGGCUCCUUGGCAAGUGCAAUAGCUCCAGUGUUGUCACAGAAGAGUUUGAUUGGCCCCGAUGCAUUGGGUAUGACUCCUAGGUCGGUGAUGAACUCCUUCACCCAAAUUGCUUCAUGUGCUGCCUCCGAGGCUGCCAUGUACUCCGCUUCACAUAUAGAUCCUGCCACGACGCUCUGCUUGCAACUGCACCAGCUUACUGCCCGACCAUUCAAAAUAUACACGUAUCCGGUUUGUGACUUUGAGUCAUCCAGAUCUGUGUCGAAGCUAGCGUCGAUGUAACCCUUUACGACGAGCUCUUCGUCACCUCCAUAGAUGAGAAACAUUUCCUUAGUCCUUUUCAGGUACUUCAGGAUAUUCUUGACCGUUGUCCAGUGUUCCUUGUCAGGAUUACUUUGGUACCUACCUACCAAACUUACGGCAAGGUUUACAUCAGGUCUGGUACACAGCAUCGCAUACAUAAUAGAACCUAUGGCCGAGGCAUUGGGGAUGACACUCAUCUCUUCUAUAUCUUCUGCCGUGGUUGGACAUUGAGCUGAGCUCAAUUUCACACCUUGCAACACAGGCAAGAACCCCUUCUUAGACUGAUCCAUAUUGAACUUCUUCAAUAUCUUAUCAAGGUAUGUGCUUUGUGAAAGACCUAUGAGGCGUCUCGAUCUGUCUCUAUAGAUCUUGAUGCCUAAUAUAUAAGCAGCUUCUCCAAAGUCCUUCAUUGAAAAACUCUUAUUCAAGUAGGCCUUAAUGCUGUCCAAGAGUUCUACAUCAUUUCCCAUCAAAAGUAUGUCAUCUACAUAUAAUAUGAGAAAUGCUACAGAGCUCCCACUCACUUUCUUGUAAACACGGGCUUCUCCAUAAGUCUGCGUAAACCCAAACUCUUUGAUCAUCUCAUCAAAAUGAAUGUUCCAACUCCGAGAUGCUUGCACCAGCCCAUAAAUCGAGCGUUGGAGCUUGCACACCUUGUCAGCAUUCUUAGGAUCGACAAAACCUUCUGGCUGCAUCAUAUACAAUUCUUCCUUAAGGAAACCAUUAAGGAAUGCCGUUUUGACGUCCAUUUGCCAUAUCUCAUAAUCAUAGAAUGCGGCAAUUGCUAACAUGAUUCGAACGGACUUUAGCUUCGCUACCGGUGAGAAAGUCUCAUCGUAGUCAACCCCUUGAACUUGUCGAUAACCCUUAGCGACAAGCCGAGCUUUAUAGAUGGUCACAUUACCAUCCGCGUCUGUCUUCUUCUUAAAGAUCCAUUUAUUUUCUAUGGCUCGCCGCUCAACGGGCAAGUCAGUCAAAGUCCAUACUUCCUUUUCAUACAUGGAUCCUAUCUCGGAUUUCAUGGCUUCUAGCCAUUUGUCGGAAUCCGGGCCCGCCAUCGCUUCUUCAUAGUUUGAAGGUUCACCGUUGUCUAACAACAUGAUUUCCAAGACAGGGUUGCCGUACCACUCUGGUGCGGAACGUGUCCUUAUGGACCUACGAAGUUCAAUAGCAACUCUGAAGUUUCAUGAUCAUCAUCAUUAACUUCCUCUCUAGUCGGUGCAGGCACCUCAGGAACAUUUUCUUGAGUUGCGCCAUUUUCCGGCUCAAGAGGUAAUACUUCAUCAAGUUCUACUUUCCUCCCACUUACUUCUUUCGAGAGAAACUCUUUCUCUAGAAAGGACCCAUUCUUGGCAACAAAGAUCUUGCCUUCGGAUCUGAGGUAGAAGGUAUACCCAAUAGUUUCUUUAGGGUAUCCUAUGAAGACGCAUUUUUCCGAUUUGGAUUCGAGCUUUUCAGGUUGAAGUUUCUUGACAUAAGCAUCGCAUCCCCAAACUUUUAGAAACGACAGCUUAGGUUUCUUCCCAAACCAUAAUUCAUACGGUGUCGUCUCAACGGAUUUCGACGGAGCCCUAUUUAAAGUGAAUGCGGCACCAAAAAGAUAGCGGUAAAUCGGUAAGAGACAUCAUAGAUUGCACCAUAUCUAAUAGAGUGCGAUUACGACGUUCGGACACACCAUUACGCUGAGGUGUUCUAGGCGGCGUGAGCUGUGAAACUAUUCCACAUUUUCUUAAGUGUGUGCCAAACUCAUGACUCAAGUAUUCUCCUCCACGAUCUGAUCGCAGGAACUUGAUUUUCCUGUCACGUUGAUUCUCAACCUCACUCUGAAAUUCCUUGAACUUUUCAAAGGUCUCAGACUUGUGUUUCAUUAAGUAGACAUACCCAUAUCUACUCAAGUCAUCAGUGAGGGUGAGAACAUAACGAUAGCCACCGCGAGCCUCAACACUCAUUGGACCGCACACAUCAGUAUGUAUGAUUUCCAAUAAGUUGGUUGCUCGCUCCAUUGUUCCUGAGAACGGAGUCUUGGUCAUUUUACCCAUGAGGCAUGGUUCGCACGUGUCAAAUGAUUCAUAAUCAAGAGACUUCCAUCAGCAUGGAGCUUCUUCAUGCGUUUGACACCUAUGUGACCAAGGCGGCAGUGCCACAAGUAUGUGGGACUAUCAUUAUCAAUCUUACAUCUUUUGGUACUCACACUAUGAACAUGUGUAGAAUUACGCUCGAGAUUCAUUAAGAAUAAACCAUUCACCAUCGGAGCAUGACCAUAAAACAUAUCUCUCAUAUAAAUAGAACAACCAUUAUUCUCGGAUUUAAAUGAGUAGCCAUCUCGUAUUAAACGAGAUCCUGAUACAAUGUUCAUGCUCAAACUUGGCACUAAAUAACAAUUAUUGAGGUUCAAAACUAAUCCCAUAGGUAAAUGUAGAGGUAGCGUGCCGACGGCGAUCACAUCGACCUUGGAACCAUUCCCGACGCGCAUUGUCACCUCGUCCUUCGCCAGUCUCCGUUUAUUCCACAGCUCCUGCUUUGAGUUAUAAAUGUGAGCAACCGCACUGGUAUCAAAUACCAAGGAGCUACUACGAGUACUGGUAAGGUACACAUCAAUUACAUGUAUAUCACAUAUACCUUUCGUUUUGCCGGCCUUCUUAUCCGCUAAGUAUUUGGGGCAGUUCCGCUUCUAGUGACCACUUUCCUUGCAAUAAAAGCACUCAGUCUCGGGCUUGGGUCCAUUCUUUGGCUUCUUCCCGGCAGCUUGCUUGCCGGGCGCGACAACUCCCUUGCCGUCUUUCGUGAAGGUUUUCUUACCCUUGCCUUUCUUGAACUUAGUGGUUUUAUUCACCAUCAACACUUGAUGUUCCUUUUUGACUUCUACCUCUGCUGAUUUCAGCAUUGCAAAUACUUCAGGAAUGGUCUUUUCCAUCCCCUGCAUAUUGAAGUUCAUCACAAAGCUCUUGUAGCUCGGUGGAAGCGACUGAAGGAUUCUGUCAAUGACCGUGUCAUCCGGGAGAUUAACUCCCAGCUGAGUCAAGCGGUUAUGCAACCCAGACAUAGUGAGUAUGUGCUCACUGAUAGAACUGUUUUCCUCCAUCUUACAGCUGAAGAACUUAUCGGAGACUUGAUAUCUCUCGACCCGGGCAUGAGCUUGGAAAACCAUUUUCAGCUCUUCGAACAUCUCAUAUGCUCUGUGUCUCUCAAAACGCUUUUGGAGCACCGGCUCUGAGCUGUAAAGCAUGCCGCACUGAACGAGGGAGUAGUCAUCGGUAUGUGCCUGCCAAGCGUUCAUAAUGUCUUGUUCUGCAGGGAGUAUAGGUGCGUCACCCAGCGGUGCUUAUAGGACAUAAUCUUUCUUGGCAGCUAUGAGGAUGAUCCUCAGGUUCCGGACCUAGUCCGUGUAGUUGCUGCCAUCGUCUUUCAGCUUGGUUUUCUCUAGGAACGCGUUGAAGUUGAGGACUACGUUGGCUAUUUGAUCUACAAGACAUAUUGUAAAUAUUUUAGACUAAGUUCAUGAUAAUUAAGUUCAUCUAAUCAAAUUAUUUAAUGAACCCCCACUCAGAUAGACAUCCCUCCAGUCAUCUAAGUAUAACAUGAUCCGAGUUAACUAGGCCGUGUCCGAUCAUCACGUGAGACGGACUAGUCAACGUCGGUGAACAUCUUCAUGUUGAUCGUAUCUUCUAUACGACUCAUGCUCGACCUUUCGGUCUUCUGUGUUCCGAGGCCAUGUCUGUACAUGCUAGGCUCGUCAAGUCAACCUAAGUGUUUGCAUGUGUAAAUCUGUCUUACACCCGUUGUAUGUGAAUGUUAGAAUCUAUCACACCUGAUCAUCACAUGGUGCUUCGAAACAACGAACUGUCGCAAUGGUGCACAGUUAGGGGGAACACUUUCUUGAAAUUAUUAUGAGGGAUCAUCUUAUUUACUACCGCCGUUCUAAGUAAACAAGAUGCAAAAACAUGAUAAACAUCACAUGCAAUCAAAUAAUAAAAGUGACAUGAUAUGGCCAAUAUCACAUAGCUCCUUUGAUCUCCAUCUUGGGGCUCCAUGAUCAUCUUGUCACCGGCAUGACACCAUGAUCUCCAUCAUCAUGAUCUCCAUCAUCGUGUCUCCAUGAAGUUGCUCACCAACUAUUACUUCUACUACUAAGGCUAACACGUUUAGCAAUAAAGUAAAGUAAUUUACAUGGCGUUUCUCAAUGACACGCAGGUCAUACAAAAAAUAAAGACAACUCCUAUGGCUCCUGCCGGUUGUCAUACUCAUCGACAUGCAAGUCAUGAUUCCUAUUACAAUAGCAUGAACAUCUCAUACAUCACAUAUAUAUCAUUCAUCAUUCAUCACAACUUUGGCCAUAUCAUAUCACAAAGCACUUGCUGCAAAAACAAGUUAGACGUCCUCUAAUUGUUGUUGCAAGUUUUACGUGGCUGAAGUAGGGUUCUAGCAAGAACGUUUUCUUACCUACGUGAAAGCCACAACGUGAUUUGUCAACUUCUAUUUACCCUUCAUAAGGACCCUUUUCAUCGAAUCCGCUCCAACUAAAGUGGGAGAGACAGACACCCGCCAGCCACCUUAUGCAACUAGUGCAUGUUAGUCGGUGGAACUGGUCUCACGUAAGCGUACGUGUAAGGUUGGUCCGGGCCGCUUCAUCCCACAAUACCGUUGAAGCAAGAUAAGACUAGUAGCGGCAAGAAAGUUGACAACAUCAACGCCCACAACAAAUUUGUGUUCUACUCGUGCAAGAGAACUAUGCAUAGACCUAGCUCAUGAUGCCACUGUAGGGGAACGUUGCAGAAAACAAAAAAAAUUCCUACGGUUUCACCAAGAUCCAUCUAGGAGUUCAUAUAGCAACGAGUGUUCGGAUUGCAUCUACAUACCUUUGUAGAUCACGCGCGGAAGCGUUCAAAGAACGGGGAUGAGGAAGGCGUACUCGACGUGAUCCAAAUCACCGGAGAUCCUAGCGCCGAACGGACGGCACCUCCGCGUUCAACACACGUACGGUCAGCAUAACGUCUCCUUCUUCUUGAUCCAGCAAGGGGGAAGGAGAGGUUGAGGAAGAUGGCUCCAACAGCAGCACGACGGUGUGGUGGUGAUGGAGUUGCAGUACUCCGGCAGGGCUUCGCCAAGCACUAUGGAGGAGGAGGAUGUGUUGGAGAGGGAGAGGGAGGCACCAAAAGCAUGGAUCAAGAGGCCCUCCUUCCCCCACUAUAUAUAGGGAGCCUAGGGGGGGGCGGCGGCCAAGGGAAGAAUCCCUCCUCCCCAAGGCACCUAGGAGGUGCCUUCCCCCUUUGGGACUCUUCCCUUCCUUAUCUCUUGGCGCAUGGGCCUCUUGGGGCUGGUGCCCUUGGCCCAUAUAGGCCAAGGCGCACCCCCUACAGCCCAUGUGGCCCCCUGGGGCAGGUGGCCCCACCCGGUGGACCCCCGGGACCCUUCCGGUGGUCCCGGUACAAUACCGGUGACCCCGAAACUUGUCCCGAUGGCCGAAAUAGCACUUCCUAUAUAUAAUUCUUUACCUCCGGACCAUUCCGGAACUCCUCGUGACGUCCAGGAUCUCAUCCGGACUCCGAACAACAUUCGGGUUACUGCAUAUACAUAUCCCUACAACCCUAGCGUUACCGAACCUUAAGUGUGUAGACCCUACGGGUUCGGGAGACAUGUAGACAUGACCGAGAUCGCUCUCCGGUCAAUAACCAACAGCGGGAUCUGGAUACCCAUGUUGGCUCCCACAUGCUCCUCGAUGAUCUCAUCGGAUGAACCACGAUGUCGAGGAUUCAAGCAACCCCGUAUGCAAUUCCCUUUGUCAAUCGAUAUGUUACUUGCCCGAGAUUCGAUCGUGGUAUCCCAAUACCUCGUUCAAUCUCGUUACCGGCAAGUCACUUUACUCGUACCGUAAUACAUGAUCCCGUGACCAGACACUUGGUCACUUUGAGCUCAUAAUGCCGAUGCAUUACCGAGUGGGCCCAGUGAUACCUCUCCGUCAUACGGAGUGACAAAUCCCAGUCUUGAUCCGUGUCAACCCAACAGACACUUUCGGAGAUACCCGUAGUAUACCUUUAUAGUCACCCAGUUACGUUGUGACGUUUGGUACACCCAAAGCACUCCUACGGUAUCCGGGAGUUACACGAUCUCAUGGUCUAAGGAAUAGAUACUUGACAUUGGAAAACUCUAGCAGACGAACUAUACGAUCUUGUGCUAUGUUUGGGAUUGGGUCUUGUCCAUCACAUCAUUCUCCUAAUGAUGUGAUCCCGUUAUCAAUGACAUCCAAUGUCCAUAGUCAGGAAAUCAUGACUAUCUGUUGAUCAACGAGCUAGUCAACUAGAGGCUUACUAGGGACAUGUUGGUGUCUAUUAUUCACACAUGUAUUACGAUUUCCGGAUAACACAAUUAUAGCAUGAAUAAAAGAUAAUUAUCAUGAACAAGGAAAUAUAAUAAUAAUGCUUUUAUUAUUGCCUCUAGGGCAUAUUUCCAACACAACCCACCUUAAUUCCAGCUAAAGCAACGUCAUAGGUAAAACACACGCUGAUCAAAUAGCACAAAUAAGGCAAUUCUAAUCAAGGGGAUGGCGUUACCUCUUGAUACGGUCCAGUUGAAUGCAUAUGGUGGUACGAAGUAAAGCCCAAGGAAGUCGACAUGAACAUGAGAAGUAAUCAUGGGAAAUAGACUCUGCAUCUUGACUUCUUCAGUGUCCCUCCUGAUCCUACUUUGUAAGACAAGAUUGUUGCAUUCUUAUGUACGUGCAAUAUAUAAUUACACAUUUUCAGUACAACAACCGGCAACCUAAGAUAAUCCCAAAUCUACAAUUCUAGAUUGCUUGAAGCCACACGAUUCUUAUUUAAUAUGUAACGCACGUGCACCCACUGAACAGACACUUUGUCGGCGUGGGUGCUGCGAACGGAGUUGAAGUCAACGCGGAUGCCGAUGGUUGCCGGAGAGCAUGCCCUGGACGUGGAUGGAGUCGUCACAGUAGCGGCAGAAGAGCGUCUGGCCUCCAAACAGAAGACGAUGGCGGCGAUAGCACGUGUGUUCCCGGAGGAAGACGAACCUCCUCGCGCUUCCCCCAUCGUGGCUAGCGUGCAUGAUGGCGGCAGGCGGCUCGCGAUUAGCUUCCUAAUAGGAUGGAUGUGUCCGAGAUAAGUUUUUUAAUAGGAUGGAUUUGUCUGAAAUUAGUUUCCUAAUAGGAUGGAUGCACUCUGAUUUAGUUUCCUAGAAUAGGAUGCACCCAUGAUUAUUAGUUUUCUAAUUGCUCAGGCGUGGAGUUUCAUAUUUUCCUACACGGUGGAGUACAGUCAGUCAAUGUAAAUUGCUAAGUGCAUACAGAAAAUGGUUUAGGUUAAGGCUAACCGUUAGAUUGAUUUUAGUGGGCCUAAUCGUGCGGUGGUAUUGGAUCUGUGUACGCUUUGUGGGGUGUGCUUAAAGAAGUUCUAAUUUGAUUGUUUAAUAGUAAGUAUAGAUUUAAUAGUAGUAUGGAAGUAUAGAUUCUAGAUUGCUUGAAGCCCCAUGAUUCUUAUUUAAUAUGUAAUGCACGUGCACCCACUGAACAGACACUUUGUCGGCGUGGGUGCUGCGAACGGAGCUGAAGUCAACACGGAUGCCGAUGGUUGCCGGAGAGCAUGCCCUGGACGUGAAUGAAGUAGUCGCAGUAGCGGCAGAAGAGCGCCUGGCCUCCAAACAAAAGAAGAUGGCGGCGAUAUCACGUGUGUUCCCGAAGGAAGACGAAGCUCCUCGCGCUUCCCCCAUCGUGGCUAGCGUGCAUGAUGGUGGCAUGCGGCUCGCAUUAGCUUCCUAAUAGGAUGGAUGCGUCCGAGAUAAGUUUUUUAAUAGGAUGGAUUUAUCUGAGAUUAGUUUCCUAAUAGGAUGGAUGCACUCUGAUUUAGUUUCCUAGAAUAGGAUGCACCCGUGAUUAUUAGUUCCCUAAUUGCUCAGGCGUGGAGUUUCAUAUUUUCCUCCAAGGUGGAGUACGGUCAGUCAAUGUAAAUUGCUAAGUGCACACAGAAAAUAGUUUAGGUUAAGGCUAACCGUUAGAUUGAUUUUAGUGGGCCUAAUCGUGCGGUGGUAUUGGAUCUGUGUACGCUUUGUGGGGUGUGCUUAAAGAAGUUCUUGUUUGAUUGUUUAAUAGUAGUAUAGAAGAUAAGUUUUUUAAUAGGAUGGAUUUGUCUGAGAUUAGUUUCCUAAUAGGAUGGAUGCACUCUGAUUUAGUUUCCUAGAAUAGGAUGCACCCGUGAUUAUUAGUUUCCUAAUUGCUCGGGCGUGGAGUUUCAUAUUUUCCUCCACGGUGGAGUACGGUCAGUCAAUGCAAAUUGCUAAGUGCACAUAGAAAAUAGUUUAGGUUAAGACUAACCGUUAGAUUGAUUUUAGUGGGCCUAAUCGUGCGAUGGUAUUGGAUCUGUAUACGCUUUAUGGGGUGUGCUUAAAAAAAUUCUUGUUUGAUUGUUUAAUAGUAGUAUAGAUAUAUAUGACAGCCAACACACCUGUGCUAGUACACCAACGAUUCAUGUACUUGCCUUUGAUUGGCCGGCCAUCCAUGCAUGCAUUAGCACCUUUGAUUGGCCGGCCAUCCAUGCAUGCAUUAGCACUUGUAUACGUCACAUGCAUACACGUGACUUUGCCCUAUACAGCGGAGUACACCAAAUACACACACUAAUAUGUGAAGAUUAAUAGAGGGAGAAAAGAGGGAGUUGAAACCCAGAUUUUAAUCUAUUAUUUCUAGCAACCAUCAUACUAGAACUCUUAAUUAAAACCUCACUAUAAUUUACAUUGGCCACAUAAAAUAUUCUUACAUGCAUGCCAAAUCCAAGUCUCUUGAUCGGCCAUCGUUUUAAGGAUUAUAGUGGAACCCCUUUUUUGGCCGUGGAAUUGCCUAUGCCAUGUCUUUGGACAAUUCUUCCAACUCCAAUGCAUGCAAUCUAUUGAACCAAGCAUACCUGGGAAGCCGCGAGCAUUGUUCAUCUCCAAUAGCCUUGCGGCGUCUUCAGCAUUGGAAGAUCUCAAAUACUCCUGACCAAACACUUGGACAAUUCCGACUGCGAAGCGCUUGAUACACAUGAUGGCUUGGAUCUCACCCAUAGCCAAGUGAUCAUCAACUAGAUCAGCCGGGAUACCGUAUGCCAACAUACGCAAAGCGGCUGUCACCUUCUGAAAGGUACUAUGCCCGAGCUCUCCGGCGGCAUUCCUCCUUUGCUGAAAAAACCGGUCAUGGUUCGCUAGUUUCUCUGUAAUGCGCCUGAACAACUCGGUGCUCAUCCUAAACCGACGACGAAAGUACGACUCCGGGUAUGUGGGAUUCUCCGCAAAAUAAUGCCUGAUCAAUCUGUUGUGGGCAUCGAUCCUAUCCCUCCAAAUUUUCUGCCGACCCAUACCCGAACCACCGUGCUUCAGUUUUUUUAUUGAUGUGCAUAGCUAGGAUCAUUGCAUGAUCCUCCUCCUCGUCCAUAUCAAAUUCUUCUUCGGAAGAAUCAUACGGCAAACUCAUCUACAAUGUUGAAUACUAGGCUAUAAAAACUACAAUCAACAUGUACCAAAUUCAUAAAGUUGAGCAAUACAUACCUUGCGGGCGUUUUGUCGAACACCUUGCGGGCGCCGAGCGGCAGCGAGCGGCUGCGCGCGAGGGCUGCGGUGACUAGAGGGUGGCGGAGGAAGCCGCGGCGGCGCGGGGAUAGGCCGGGGAAGCGACGGAACGGUCGCCGGGAGGCGCGGGCGGCGGCGCGCCGCGGAUGGAUGGGGUGAGUGGAGUUGCGAGCGAGCGCUCGAGAGUCCAACGCGCAGGAGCGGACACAACAAAUAAGCGACGCGCGAUGCCGUUUCGGCCCGCGCGCUGAACUAGAUAUGCCGAGCACGCAAUUUUUGCGCCUCUGCUGGAACGCUCGGACCGGCAGCGCGCGCAAAAAACGCUGAUUUUUCAGCGCGGCGGCUAUAUAGCGCGGGUGUUGGACACACACACACGAUUAGUUCACCUGAUAGUGAUAUAGAGAUCGUCCUGGUCUAGCUUGGUUGUUGUUUUCUUCGGUGCGAGUCAUAGAUGCAUCUAUCUUGUCAUCUGCGGUAUCCUAUGACAUUAAACUUUCGAAAGGGAUCGUACCCUCACAUGUUAUGUUUUUCUACAAGAAUAAGACAUGAAUUAGAUGGAAGCUCAGUGAAUCCAUAAUAUUUUAGAUUUUAACGAGAAUUAAUAUCAGUUAAAAUCAUCUGAUGCCCACACAAUCAAGUACUCAUACGAUCUGAAUAAUUAGGUCAAUGCCAACAAAAUGCAAAAAUAUAGAAUUAUUGGAUUCUAUCAUUAUGCUUGACUAAAUUUUAAUAAAUGAGAAGCUCUCCGCCUACACAUGUGAGUAAUCGUGCACUGAAAAAAUGCCCUGAGCUUGGGUAUGCAAUACACUAAUCAACUCCUUUAUUAAAACAUUUGAGAACUACCGUGGGUAUGCAUACCACAAUUCAUAUGCUUAUUGGACAAAAAUAAUCUGCCUCUUCCGGUGAUACUUUCCCUUGUGUCGAGUGCAUAUCCUGUGCUCCCAUUCCUACAAUGCUCCCAUGCUAUCUUCGAAAGGGUACAUUUUAACAUCUUAACAAAAGGUGCAGGUUCGUAAGACAUGUGUCCACAUUCCCUGAAAAUUUCAAAGCUAAUUCAAAAUACACACGGAGAAGAGAAUUUUUUGGAACACUCAGAUUUAUUUUUAAGUUUGGAGCAUGGGAACAUGUAAGCCGUGAGAGCACUCUCUCUUUCAUUUGUGCACCUGAUAAAUGUUUUGUUAGCAUUUUGUUUUUUGAGCUGGAAGUGUUUUGCUAGCAUAAAACCAUCUCCCCACAAAGAGAGAGAGAACAUAUAAACCAUCUUGGACAUGUGUGGUCGUUGGGCCCAUAAUUAUUGGCUCGACAUUGUCACAGGAUCAGCACAGCCCCACUUCUUCGAGCCGAACCAUAUUCGGGGCCAGUUCUUUUGGGCGAUUUUACCAGAAUCAUCCCCCUCCCUAGCUUUUUCCAGAAUCAUCACUCCAUAUGUUUUUUACAAUCCUAGCUAAUUAGAUCUUAACUAAAUAGGAUUGUAAAAAAAAUAUGGAGUGGCGAUUCUGGGAGAAGCUGGGGAAGGGAGCGAUUCUGGGAGAAUCGCCGAAAAAAACUGGCCCUCGUUCACGUGACUAAUUAAAAUGAAUCCUAAAAAAAGAGACUGAUUAAAAGGAUAUUUAUUCGAAAAUAGAGAUCUUCUUGGAGGAAAAUUAAAAAGAGAUAUAUUUUUUUUGAAAGGAAAAGAGAUAUAUUUAAACAAGAAGACAUUUCCUUCACGGCCAAGGCGAACGUAGGCGCUACGAAACGCGAGUCCACAGCGAGUCACCAGCAACCGCACGAUCGUGAUCGAACGCGGGAGACGUAACCGCCAUCGCAGCCGCCCGUCCGACGAUCCAGAGGCCGCGGAUAAAACCCUAGGCACCCGUCAUCCCAUCCCACCCCAUCCUCCCCCCCUCCCCCCGCCGCGUCUUUGACNNNNNNNNNNNNNNNNNNNNNNNNNNNNNNNNNNNNNNNNNNNNNNNNNNNNNNNNNNNNNNNNNNNNNNNNNNNNNNNNNNNNNNNNNNNNNNNNNNNNNNNNNNNNNNNNNNNNNNNNNNNNNNNNNNNNNNNNNNNNNNNNNNNNNNNNNNNNNNNNNNNNNNNNNNNNNNNNNNNNNNNNNNNNNNNNNNNNNNNNNNNNNNNNNNNNNNNNNNNNNNNNNNNNNNNNNNNNNNNNNNNNNNNNNNNNNNNNNNNUCCGCCGUCGGUGAUUGUUUCUCUCGCUCGUAUGCCGUCGCAUGCCUAGCUAGGUCGAUCCGCGCGCUGUGAUAGAUGGAUAGAUCUGCUCGAUUCGAUUCGCCUUGGCGCGUUUGAUUUCGAGACUGUCGCAUGAACUGCUUGUAUUGGUUCUGGACUAGUUUUGCUUAUCCUUGCUGUUGCAUGAUGAACUCGAUUAUUUCUCUCGCCCGUAUGCGGUCGCAUCUCUGGCUCGACCGCGCGCUGCGAUAGAUGGAUCGAUCUGCUCGGUCUCGUAUUUAAGCAUGUCGCCUGAACUCGAGUACCUAGAUCUGCUCGAUUCGAUUCGCCUUUGCGCCCUGCUUGGUUUGGUUUCUGUAUGUCUGUUGGGCUAAACUAGUUUUGCGAAUCCUUACCGAAUUAUCACUGUAAUCUGCAAGUUAAUCAUCUAGGUUAGAGAUGCAUAACAUGCUAUUAUCAGCAAAUUGGAGAUGCAAAAAGUGCCCAUCGUCUAAUGGUAAAGACACAAGGCCUCCUUGCGGGGCCUUCUCAUAUAGGUUCGAUUCCUAUUGGGUGCUUCUGCAGACGACCCCCCUGCAUCUCCAAUUUGUCCUGACCCUGAAUUGCCUUGUUAAGUAAGUGCCUUGCAUGCUAAUCUCGCCCUUUCGGAUUAGAUCAUGCUUGGCCACUUGACAAGGCAUUCUGGUCUGUAGGUUUAUUGAAAUCUUCUGUUAAGAAUCGUUUGGACGUAGGCCUAUUUUUACCUGUUAGUCAGAUUUAGUUUUGCAUGCCUUAUCUGAUGAAUAUGAAUAAUUUCAGUUACUUUUCCAGUGUUUAGUUUGAAGUCUAUGAAAUUGCAGUUUCAUGGCUAGCCUUGCUUGCCUGUCAACUGUUGUCUGAUAGGCCAUUGUUUUUAUGGUUUAGAUUUGUUAUUGCUCCAAAUUAUUACUAUAUUGUUCAAUCAUUUGCUAUUUGAAGUUUAAACUGUAGCAUUGAAUUAUUUGAACUCGUUUAACCACCCCUAAUUUGGUCCAUGCAGGUAGUUCGUAGCUCCAGCAGCCAUGGGCAAGGAGAAGAUCCACAUCAGCAUUGUGGUCAUUGGCCAUGUCGACUCUGGCAAGUCAACCACGACUGGCCACCUCAUCUACAAGCUUGGAGGCAUUGACAAGCGUGUGAUCGAGAGGUUCGAGAAGGAAGCCGCUGAGAUGAACAAGAGGUCUUUCAAGUACGCCUGGGUGCUUGACAAGCUCAAGGCUGAGCGUGAGAGAGGUAUCACCAUUGAUAUUGCUCUGUGGAAGUUCGAGACCACCAAGUACUCGUGCACUGUCAUUGAUGCUCCUGGUCACCGUGAUUUCAUCAAGAACAUGAUCACUGGUACCUCCCAGGCUGAUUGUGCUGUGCUUAUCAUUGACUCCACCACUGGUGGUUUUGAGGCUGGUAUCUCCAAGGAUGGCCAGACCCGUGAGCACGCUCUCCUUGCUUUCACUCUUGGUGUGAAGCAGAUGAUCUGCUGCUGCAACAAGGUAUACAUGCUAUUCAACUUCCAAUGGUGAUUUUUAUGAGUGACCAUAUUAUUUGUUCACUAGUCAAUGUCAAUGUUCAUUAGUACAGAAACAUACUCUUAAAUGAUUUACAUCUGUCUAAUUCUAUUUGUUUUGUGAUAAAUGUUUGUUCAUUUUGUUUUUCCUUAAAUUACAAAUGUAUUCCCUCCGUAAACUAAUCUAAGUGCGUUUAGAAUACUAAAGUAAUGAUCUAAACGCUCUUAUAUUAGUUUACAGAGGAAGUACUAUUUUGCUAUAUGCUUUAUCUCUCUAGGGUCAGAAUUACCUACUAAAUGUCCAGGUUCAUUAGUAGCACUUAAUUGCCUCUAAUUGAUUAACUCUGGUCAUUUUGCUAAUAUUAGGUGAUUAAUAACUUCCAUCAUCUAUGUUACUGACUUCAUUAUAUAUCAUGAUUGAUGCAACUGUUUGUCUGCUUGUUAUCUCUUAUUCCAGUACAUGACUACACAUUUAUGAUGUUUCUCAUUUUUGUGUUUGUUUGCAUCGUUACCUUUUAAUUAUUCUGUUUAUCUGAUCGGAUUGCUCUUAUGAUCUGUUCCAGAUGGAUGCCACCACUCCCAAGUACUCGAAGGCCCGUUACGAUGAAAUUGUCAAGGAAGUCUCUUCAUACCUGAAGAAGGUCGGUUACAACCCUGACAAGGUUCCCUUUGUCCCCAUCUCUGGGUUUGAGGGUGACAACAUGAUCGAGAGGUCCUCCAACCUUGACUGGUACAAGGGCCCAACCCUGCUUGAGGCGCUUGACCAGAUCAAUGAGCCCAAGAGGCCCUCCGACAAGCCCCUGCGUCUUCCCCUUCAGGACGUGUACAAGAUUGGCGGCAUUGGAAC